rnacentral:lncRNA from 1 species
AGUAGGGAAGCGCAGCACAUGCAUGCAUGCAUGCAUGUCCCUUCCGUCGAUCUACUGAAGUCAGUGCUGUCUCUGUCUACUAGAAAUGUUCGGUGUGUGUUGAUCUAUCUUAUAUUACUAGUGUACUACUCCAGAUCUGUUGAUCUGCCGCUAGCUAGUUCCUUCUGUCGAUCCUACCGAAGUUCCAUGUAAUGCCCAAGAAGAUGCUGUGUGUGUCAAGUUAUCUUAGUGUGCUCUGUUGAUUUGCAUGUCUCUUAAUUAUGAUCUGUGAUCUAGUAUAUCCUACAACGUCAGGUUGAAGAUGGAUCUAGCAUUUGUGUGCAGCACAUUUGAGGCUGAGCAUCCAGUGUUUUUUCCGGUUCUUUCUUGUGUGACAUUGCGCUGUAAGCAUUAAUUUGCCCGUUUUUCUGUCUGGGUUCUUAGGAGUGUGUGGGCCAGAUGAUCUGUCUCCUUUACGAAAAAGAAACAACUCGUCUUGAUUUCUCGCCUCCAUCUUCUUUUGUUCCUCUCUUUACUGCAGGACAUGUCGUGCUCAUCAGCUUCUCCUCCCUGGAGUAGUGGUUCUAGUUUGUUAACAAUCUCUUCAUAGUUUUGGACAGAUGAGAAAGCAAGGAUUAAUUUCUUUUCUUUAUUAACAGAUCUUUGUAAUGGUUGACAGUUGACACUCGGUUAGCAUGCAAACGUUUCCGAAACUCGGUUAGAAUGUUUGCAUCACAAUAUUGCCGAUGUUUCUUCUCUGAAAAGGAGCGAUGAAGAAAGAUGAAAAGGAUGAAUACACCGUAGUCACUGGCUACUAGCACCAUGCCACUUGCCUGUUUUGGUGACAUUAAAAUAUGUUUCUUAAUUCUAAAAUCAGUGCUUCUUUUCUGAAUGUAGACUUGAGGAUUGUAGCCGUAUAUUUUUCCUGCUCAGUCAUGCACUCAGUUUCCAACAAAGGAUUUGAUCCUGUGUAUUAUUGCUCUAAUUGUUAACUUCGAAAAAUGUAUCAGAUCCAUUGAGCCUCAACCACAAACAAAACAUGAACAAGACCGAAAGGCCAUAGAUGUUUAGUGCAUCAGCAUUGACUAGAUUGCUGAUGCUAGUGCAAGUGUGAGACUGUUAGAACUAUGCCCUGGAGGCAAUAAUAAAAGUUGAUAUUGUUUUAUGGGACAUUUACAUUUGUGCCCAUAACUGGAACCAACUACUCAUAUUUGCCCCUAAUUUCGAAGCAUACCCAAAUCUAUCCCUCUGUCGUUAGUUGCCCUUAUAGAACUGCCCUUUUGCGUCGUUACCGUCCGAUCAAAGGGCUUUGACCAUCUCGAUAAAAUUAGCAGAAAAAUCUGAAAUUUUGUGGGAUCAAAGAUAGUUAGGUGCUUGUCAAUUUUCUUGAUGUUUAGACAUACCAGGAGCAUGUGGCAAUGGAAAACAAUAAAUCUGUACGACUGUGAAUAGUAAAUUCAAAGAAAAUAGCAAGAAAAUUCAAAAAGUACGAAAUUUUUUGGCAUCCAAGAUGCUCGGAUGCGCAAGGUGUGUGCAAUUUUUUUUAUCAAAUGACAUGCAAGGAGCUCUAGCAAAAAAACAAAAUAGUGUAUUUGUUCAAAGUUUUUUCCGAGCCAGAUUUUGUUUUUUUCGCGCGCUCCUACAAUGUCCAAGCACAACAAAAUUUUGCACACACCUUGUGCACCCGAGCAUCUUGGAUGCCAAAAAAAUUCAUACUUUUUUGAAUUUUCUUGCUACCUUUUGAAUUUACUGUUCACAGGCGUACUGAUUUACUGUUUUUCCUUCGCCAUGAGCUCCUAGAGUGUCCAAACAACAUGAAAAUUUGCACGCACCUUGCGCACUUGAGUACCUUCAAUCCCACAAAAUUUCAGAUUUUUUUGCUAUUUUUUCGAGACGGUCAAAGCCCUUUGCCCGGACAUUAAGGGCGCGGAAGGGCAUUUCUAUGAGGGCAACUAAUGGCAGAGGGACAAAUUUGGGCAUGCUUCGAAAUUAGGGGCAAAUCUGACUAGUGGAUUCCAGUUAGGGGCAAAAAUGUAAAUGUCCCUUGUUUUAUUUGCAUGUUCGUAAUUAAGUUUAUAUUUCAAUGCUAGAAUUGCAUUGGUUUUUGAAAGUGAGAUUUAGAGGAAAACCAAAUUUCAUGUUUAGAGAUAUAAACGCGAAACAGAGUUAGACCUCUGGACUUGCUCAUGUAUUGUUGAUGGUUCUGCUUUCAUGGCCAUGUGCAUAGUUAACGUAACGAGGAUGAAAAAAAUGAUCAGAGCAUGUUGUUAGGGUAAUAAUGAUGUUGGAUAGAUCCAUCGUAUUGUAUAACGCGAGUUCGUGUUGUCAAUAUGUUGUAUGUUACUCUAUAACUGGGUAAUUAUAAAGUUAACUUUUGGUAACGCAAGGAAGUAUGUCGUGGUACUAGAUAUGUGAAGACUUAAACUUGCCCCUCCGGCGAUCGAUAUAUACACUCUCAGACCACAUGGUAUUACACUGUCUGGCAUCUCUUGACCAUGUAUUGUGACUAAGGAAUUAGUCAUGUGCAUCCCGAAAUACGAUUACAAGGAAAGAGUACAAACCUGUAAUGAGGAUAACUACGUAUAGUGAUCAAGUAGUUGUCACAACGAUACAAUCAAAGUCUCCCCUCAUGUUUGGUAACGUAUGGAGAGGGAAAGGCAAUUGCAUGCGAUAAAAAAAGUUUUUUUUAUAAAGAUCUACAAUGUUAUGUGGGGAUUAUUGUGCGUGUCCAGAUCUCACUAAUAAUUAUUGACUAGAAGGUGUUACAAACUUGUCCAUGUAGUCUUGAACCUAUAGGGUCACACGCUUAAUGAUUAGCAACAUAUAGGAGUAAUAUGUGAUAAUCAAGAACAAGAUAGAAGGGGUCCAAAAGUAUUUUGAUAAUAUCAAAAUUGUUCCCGGAGGUCCCGAGAGCGUCCCAGUGAUAUCAUGUAGUGUCUCAGAAUGUUCUGUAAGGUGGCGAAAGCUCCAAUAUGUUCCAAAAACCUUUUGAAAAUUCUGGAAGGAUCCUAAUGCCACCUACCCCCUGCCUUGGGGGCAAGGCGGCCCAUAGGGCCCAAGUCGGCCAACCCCCCUAUUUCUUGGGGGGGCAAACCAACAAAAGGGGUGUGCUCCUACAAGGACUCCACCUCCAUAGGUCGGAUGAAACCCUCACCCCUCCACCUAUAUAUAGGUGUGGGCGCAUCAAGAGAAGUUUGGUACACGCACUCACCCCUAUGGACACAUGUACGAACACCCUACACAUAUAAGCAGCUUCAAGAUAUUGAGGGAAUAACAUCUUGAGAUUAAUGCGAGCAUUAGUGUCAAGAACAUCACUUGAACCCUUGUGGGCUGACUUCACCACCAGGAACCUAACCAUCUAAGCUAUGUCCAUUAUUACCUAUAGUAUUGUCACAAAUAAGACAUCACUGAUGAAGUACCACAACAUGAACCUGAUGCGGCGAUACAUUGCUGUGCAAUCCACAAACUCUUGUCGUUUCAGUCCUGUCACACUGUCCUGAUUGUUCCACAAACCAACACAAAUCAGAGAAUAAACUCUGGAAAUCAGAAACACGAGUGCCAUAACCAAAAAAAAAUCACCCGAGCAAUAUUUAGCAAAUCCCUUCGGUACCAUUAUUUAGAUUGGAGCUUUUCAACUCCAUUUUGAGAUUGACCACAUUUAAAUUUGGACUUAUCAGGUGAUUAACUUUGUUUUUUUUUUGCUUGAGAAACACAAUGCAGACAUAGACACUCACAUAUAUGCAUGUACAAUUAUAACCCUAUAAAGACACACACCACUGGCACUUGGGCACAUAGGUGUCAAACAUGUAGUUUGAUCCAUGGUGUGCUAGGGGUACAACCAUCCGCCUAAUCAUCCAACCACAAAAUGAUUCUCGGUAUUGGCAUAAUUAUGGGUGGGUUUGCAAACUGAAAAAAAAAAGCAUGCUCUACCUUUGUCUAAUCAAACAGCUCGCCAGCCAAAUAAAUCUGGAAUGGAGGGAUAACAACGGUCGAUCCUAUCCAUCUUUAUCCAUGAGGUUUCAUCCUGAUGAUGAUAUAGAGCAUGUGGGUAAUCUCAAAAAAAAAUCUAUAGCAUGUGAGAUUUUAUCUUUAAUGUCCUGCUACCAAAGAUUUGCCAUCGUGGAUAAUUUCCUAAUUAGCAUCCUUAUAUUAGCCACCUUUGGAAUCCAAUAAUCUUAUUCUAAAUUUGGGAGCCUGUCUUAAAACUCAUCCUUAUCUUUGAGGAGUCAUCCGGAUGAUAUCAUGAUUUGACCACGAUUUUAUAUGGCACGUUGUUAAUGCUCCAAUUGAAUUCCUUCCAUCUGCGUUAUUCGGGAAACCUGCUGCUCAGGACUACAAAUAGGAGGGAGCGAGCAAGACAUCCAUACCACACUCGUUUCUCGCAUCACAAGGUCGUUGGCCCCGUAGCACAAGCGAGUUCAUCACAAAACCAGCUGCAAAGGCUCGACGGCGAUGGCUUCCAAGAUGGUCGGCGCCCUCUUGCUGGUCCUCCUGCUGGCGCUCAACCAGAGCGACGCCCAGGUGUUGCCGACCCCCUGCUGCAACCUCAAGUGCUGUGGGUACGAUUGCUGCGGGCCCCCGGUCACAGCCACGGCACCCAUUUCGCCAUUCUCCGCCGCCCCCGAAGCAGGACCGGCCGGCCCGGUUUCGCAGCGCGUGCUCCGCAAGGUCUUCCCCGGAAACUAGCGAUGUUCAGAUGCAUGUAGCGAUGCCCCCCGUGACGUAUGAUUCCAUUGCAAGUGUGCUACUGGCACCUAGCUAGUUUCGCUGGUAUUACGUAUUAUUUUUAGCUUGUAUUCCUGAUUUGUUCUGUUCCAUCGAAACAGCAAUAUAGGAGUUUAUAUCCUGCAGUAGCAUUCCAAUUCUACAGCUAUAAUGUGUGUGCAAUGAUAAACCAUGUUCGAAACACAAAUAAUCCACCCAUCCUUCAGAAGAACAGAACGCAUAAUCCUCCAAUUAAAUCUGCCGAACCUGAAUCAGCUAUAGCUGCUCUAGUCUGGAUCAGUCCUUCAUCUCGGCUGCCUUCUCGUCUCCCAGAACAAUAUUGUUUCCUAAAAAGUAGUCAUACAUGUUCCCUUUAGGUGGACAAAAUUCAUAACCGGUUUAGCAACUGCGCCUACUAAAAAUAGCUUAGGAUAGGUUUUUACCCCUUUUUCUUGAAAAAAAUAUAUUUUUGAAUGUGGCCUCAGUGCUCAUACAACCAUAAGGCGUUUGAAUGUGGUCAAUCCCAAGGUUUCCCCAAAAAAGUUUUUGUCGAAGUGUGCAUGCGAGGUUAUAGAUUGUUUUGUCCCUAAUGUGAUUUUGUUGAUGUGUUGAUUUCCAAUCUGGAUCUACAUCGGUACGAAACAAAGGCGAAUUGUGAGCUAUUGAUUAAGGUUGCAUACUAAAUAACACUUAAAAAUGUUUCACAGCUAACCAACAUCAUUUGAAAAUUCUACACAUUUUUCUAAUCAACUUUUCAUAUAUAACAUGUCAAAAUUGAAGUUACGGUUCUUAAGUUAUUGAUACUUUUAAAAAGUAUUUGAAUCUGCCCCCAAAAUAUAAUGUUAUUUUCUAGAUGGACUAAGGGUUUAUUAAAUGAAAUAUCAGGGAGUUUUAUACAAAAAGUAAAACAUUUUCUGGUGUCACUUAAAACAGGAUUGUGGGUUUACCAUUUUCAUUGCAAAAAGCUUUUUCUUUGCGGGAUGAUAGCCAUGCACGUUCCCUUUAGAUGGCCCAAAUUUAUGGCCGGUUUAGGAACUACGCCUACUAAAAAUAGCUUAGGAUGGGUUUUAACCUUUUUUUUCUUGAAAAAAAAUAUGUUUUUGGUUCCUCAAAUUUGCCGAAAUUAUAGAUCUGGUCCGUCAAAAAAUGUAGAAACAAAACAUAUAAUUUAAAAAAGUUAAUCAUAUACUCCCUCCGUCCCAAAAUUGUUACAUCCGUAUCUAGACAAAUCUAAGACAAGAACUUUGGGACGGAGGGAGUAUAUAAGAAAGGUCAAAACUAUAUGUAAAAUGUUUUAGAUGUAUACUAAAAAUGUACAAUAUAUGAAAACAAUAGUUAUCAAAACAUAUAUCUGAAAAAAUGGUAAUCAUUUAUUUGAAAAAAUGUUAAACAUAUAUUAAAAAAUGUUUUACAUAUAACUAAAAUGUUUGAUGUAUAAAAAAUAUAUAAUAUGUACAAAAAUGUAGGCAUGUGUUUAAAAAAUAAAAAUAAUAAGAAAGAAACAAAGAAAACAGAAAAGGAAAACAAGAAAAUCGGAGAAAAAGUGCAAAAAAGAAAAGGGAGACAAGAAAAAAUUUGGGAAAAAAUGGAAAGGAACAAAGCAAAGAAAACGAAGAAACAAAUCAGUGAAAAUCGAGAAAGAAACAAAUAAAAUGGUAAACCGCAAAGUAAAAAAGAACAACAAAGAAAACCGACAAAGAAACAAAUAAAACUGGAGUAAAACAAAGAUAAAAAGUUGAAACAGUGAAAACCGAUGCAAAAGCAGUGAAAAACAACCAAAAACAAAAGCAAAGAAAAACAGUAAGGAAACAACAGAUAAACCGAGAAAACCAGUAAAGAAAACAAGAAACCAAAGCAGGGAAAAAUCGAAACAAAACAACAGCGACCAAACGAAACGCAUGACCGGGAAAACAGCAACGCCCGAAUGAAUGUACUUAGCCGACGCAUACGCGUGGGUGUUGUGGGCGAGGGGAGCUACCAUCUCGCUAUAAGUGAGAUAUAGCUUGUGCGGAAUUUUCUUACUAAACACUAGUAUUCCUCCCGACGCGUUGCGACCCUAUUCGCUGUCCAAUAGGCUUUGUAAAUAAUUAUUCUGGUUAUAAAAGCAUACGGGAAAUAGAGGAUGCUCCUUCAUCUCAAUAAAAGUGCUCAUAUGGCAGGCCCACGUGCCAAAGUGAAUUUUUGAAAUAUUCUUCUUUAUUUGAUUAAGUAGAGGGAAUCUACUGUUAUCACCCUUUGCAUGCAUGAAUUCUCUUGUGGAUAGAGUCGGGCGCACCAUAAGACUAAAAUGGGCACACGCCCCAAACAUUCAUGAUGAAAUUUGAAUGGUAGAAAACCAAAGUACUCCUUCCUUUUUAUUUACUCUGCAUAUUAGGUUUAACUAAAGUCAAACUUAAGUUUGACCAACUUUACAAAAAAAUAUACUUUUACCUUAAUGAAAAUAUAUGAUGUGAAAGUACAUUCAAUAGUGAAUCUAAUGGUAUUAAUCUGUUAUUGUAUAUGUUAAUAUUUUUUGGCCGUUUUUUCCUUACUGCUUUUCUUUGCUCGAAACUUCUAUUGCACACUGGCACUUGAUUUGUUUAUAAACUUUGUCAAAGUUUAUUAGCUUUGGUCCAUAUUAGCUUUUGUUCAACCCAGCUCGAAACUUCACUUGAACACCGGCACUUGCUUAAUUUUGCCUGCUAUGAAGUUAGAUACUGAACUAUGGCAGGAUAUUUGCACAGUUCUGUGGUAUUGAGUCUAUGAGAUUUUGCAGAUGGUGCGAUAUGGCUUCAAUCUGAACGUCCCUCCAUAUCCGUGAGAGUAGGGAAUCUCUAGCUGUGAACACUACCUGAAUCAUACCCUACGCCGCGGCAAAGGGCCUAAAACACUCGGCAAAGUCUUUGCCGAGAAUUGUUCUCGGCAAAGUCUUUGCCGAGAAUUGUUCUCGGCAAAGGCCACUCGAUGUCCCACGUCCAACGCCGAGUGGAUGCUUUGCCGAGAUCUCCUCUCGGCAAAGCUAACGAUUAGCAAACCAGCCACGUGUCCACCACCUGACUGGCGGGUCCCACUACCUAUGCCGAGCAUCAACUUUGAAGAUUAUACAAUUUCCACUUUACCACUAUUUAUAAAAAUGUAGUCAAUGUUAGAAAAGUUUGACUGUGUCAUUCUACAAAGUAUAUUCUUUCACUAUGGCGAAUAUAGGGGGAACUGCAGAAUCCUCAAGCAGGAUUUUCAUGGGAAAACCCCAGCUUUCCUCUGGUUCUGUCAUCCUCUCGAUUCCUGAUUGUGUGGGCAUGAUUCAUAACAAGAGCAUCCUUAUGUACUCCUCAAGGACGGGGAGCGUCUGCCCUUCGCCGUAGCCAAAGAGGACCCUCACCAUCCUCGCGAGGUUUAGCGAGAUCCGGGUCAUGCUGGGCGGGAAUGUCCUCCUGGAGAAGCACUCCCUGUUGAGCUCCCCCCACUCACUCUCGAUCAGCGCCAGCAUAUGCCCCUUCGCGUCGCCACCGGGGUUCUCUUUCAGGUACAACUCCUUGUAUGAUCCGUCCAGGCCAUCUUGCGCUUCGUCCUGCAUGGUGCAAGAAUGGUGAUCAUGUUAUGGUAUCUUAAACCAGUGGGGCUAAGAUUCAUUAGAAAUUCUAGGUUUCUAAUUAAGCAGGGGGGUAAUUUCAGCAGUUGGAAUCUGACCUUGGCACUGCCCAUGUCAUCCCAAAGUCUCAAGAUCUUUGACGGGCAGGAGAUUAUCGGAGGGAUACGGCCGGCCGUGAGGUUUGUAGCAUCCCUUGUUGGAUCAUGUCCUAGCAUGGAAAAGAGAUGCACAAGUGCAAGUGGUCCUCCUGUAGUGAUGACGCCGUUCGAUAGGUAGUCAUCUAGGGAAGGAACAUGAUUAGCAGACAACCAUUUCGCCUCAAGCAAAAAUGCAUCGAAAAGCAUGGCCCACUGCAAAAGAAAAAUGAAUUCACUAUUUUCAGUUGAUUAUUAUUUUCCUUUUUUUAAUAUAUUUAUACAUGAACUUAAAUAUUCUCAAAUAUUAUAUAUUGGAUAGAUACAUAUGUUGCUCGUCCAACAAACAAUUUAGUUGGUUAUCUAGACAAAUCAGGAAAUCUAAAAGAAUAAAGAUAUUCCAAGAGACAUACAUCUUUUUUGAGAUGAUCAAUAGGGUUCAGCCCAUGUUCUCUUUCAGCCAUAUCUGCGAUGUCAUUUGUGAUUGUAUAAAGAGAACUGUAGCAUGAUCUCAUGUAGCUUGGAAGUGAUGCAGCAGCUGCAAGAUCCCACCUGUAAGAAAUGCAUUUUCUAACAUGAAAUUUCGGUUACACAAUACUGACAGUUACUGUUGAUCAUAAACAGCGAGAUGAAUUUAUAGUAGCCAGAAAGGAAAAGCCUACGUUCUGAUUGCCUCGGUGAAGCGAGAAAGCUCCUCUUGUGUUGCAACAACAUCAAAGAUGUCAUCCACAAUACUGACAAUUGCAAUGAUUUUGGUUAUCUCAAUCCGGUAUCUGGAGAAGGAUUGCCCCUGGAGGAUAGUCAUGGGAAACAUGUACCAUUUAAGAAUUUGGUCACGCGUAGCUGGUAUUUCUUGAGCCAAUCCCAGGCCCAUCCACCAUCUGUCACAAUGACAUUUAGAAGUUAAAGAAGAAAUUUGUCAAUACCCCCAAAGAUAGGUAUAAAAUGGAGAAUGUUAUCUAAUGUGAAGAUGGUAAAUCAACUUGGAAGACAGAUUAGGUACUAAUUUUCAACUCAGUGGUCUUUGUGAUGGACCUGAGAAGAAACAAAUGCUCUAGCCACAUUCCUCUUCUGGGAGCUGCAGAUAAAACAUAAAGUUUGCAAGGAAUGAACUUAUAUAUGUACCUCUUAACCUCUUGCAUUUCCAUCUGAUGCUGCAACUUGUUAAGCUUGAAGUCUGCAAGUGCCAGCUCCUCCAUUGCAGUGUUCCGAGUGGGCAAGCUCUGGAGAUAGCUCAGGUGGUGUCUAGCCUUGUACUGCAUCAGGCUCACAUGGUAGGGAUGAUCCAGUGAAUGCCUCACAUAUCUUGCAAGGUUUAGGUCCAAGUGUUUAAUUGCAGAAGUGAGGUGUUUCCUUGAGAAGUCAUUUGCCUUGUAUAGUGAUGCUUCUCCCAUGUUCAAGUGUGAUAUGUCCUGCAAGCUGAGCAACCCUCUGAUGUCUUUGGUAUGAUCAACGUUGAAGUCCUCGUUUUCAUUGACAAACUUUUGAAGAACCUCAUCUACCACAUCAAGGAUAAAGGUUUUUAGGAAUAUAAACUGUGGUUGCAAUAACAGGGCGAAAAUAAAUUUUACUUUCAGACACACAAGGGGUUGAGACAAGGGGAUUCCAUGUCUCCUCUCCAAUUUAAUAUAGUGGCCGAUAUGUUGACCAUUCUUAUAGGCAGGGCCAAGCAAAACGGUCAAGUGGAUGGGCUAGUACCUUGUUUGGUCGAUGGGGGAGUCUCCAUUUUACAAUAUGCUUACAACACUAUCUGUUCAUGAAACAUGACAUUGCAAAAGCGCAAAAUAUGAAACUCAUAUUAUGUCUUCGAACAUUGUCUGGAUUAAAAAUAAAUUUUCACAAGAGCGAGUUGUUCUGCCUUGAAGGCCAAAGAAGAGCAAGACACAUAUAGACAAUUGUUUGGGUGUGAAUUAGUUUCUUUACCUUUCAGCUAUUUGUGCAUACUGAUUCAUCACCGUAAGAUAUCUAAUAAAGAAUGGAAGUGCAUUGAAGAUCGAAUUGAAAAAUAGCUUAGUUGCUGGAAGGGCAAGCUAAUGUCGUAUGGAGGUCGGCUAGUGUUGAUAAACUCAGUACUUACUAGUAUGCCGAUGUUCCUAUUAUCUUUCUUCGAGGUACCAAAAGGGGUGUGGAAGAGACUUGACUUCUUUAGAUCUCGAUUCUUCUGGCAGUCAGAUGAGGCCAAGAAGAAAUACCGUCUCGCACGAUGGGAUAUUCUAUGCCGACCCAAGGACCAGGGGGGUCUCGGUAUUGAAAACCUGGAAGUUAAGAAUAAAUGUCUUAUGAGUAAAUGGCUCUACAGGUUAGAGACAGAGCCGGAGGGUAUGUGGGCAUAGAUAUUACGCAAUAAAUAUCUACAAUCAAAAACGCUAGCCCAGGUCACCGUGAGACCAACUGACUCGCCAUUCUGGAAGGGAUUCGUGUGAACGAAAGAUUUGUUCUUUCGUAGGGUCAAAUUCGUGGUUGGCAAUGAGAUGUCAACAAGAUUUUGGGAGGAUACGUGGUUAGGGGAGACGCCACUAGCCAUACAGUACCCCACCCUAUAUAACAUUGUGCAACGUAAGGAGGAUUACAUAGGCACCAUACUUCAAUCGACUCCCUUGAAUAUUCAGUUCAGACGUGCGUUAGUUAGUGAGCGAUGGACUACCUGGAUGCACUUGGUCCGGAGAUUGAUAGAUGUUCAACUAUCCGACCAACCAGAUUCGAUGCACUGGAAGUUAGCCAGAAAUGGGGUGUUUACGGUGAAAUCUUUUUACAUGGAUCUGACUAAUUCUGGACCAAUCUUGAGAUCGUUACAUAUUUGGAAGGUUAAGGUUCCCUUGCGUAUUAAAAUAUUUAUGUGGUUCAUUCACAAACAAAUGAUCCUAACCAAAGAUAACUUAAUAAAGAGGCGGUGGGUAGGUAGUUCACGUUGUUGUUUUUGUGAUCAUGUUGAAACAAUACAACACUUAUUCAUAGAGUGCCCAUUCGCGAAAUUGCUUUGGAGAACGAUCCAUAUAGCCUUUAACAUCACUCCUCCAGUUGACAUUGAAUUGUUAGUUGGGACGUGGUUAGCUGGGGUGGAGCAUAUUACUGCGAUUGAUAUUCGGAUUGAAAUAUGUGCGCUUCUUUGGGCUAUAUGGAAUUGCAGGAAUGAUAUGAUUUUUAACAGACAACCUAAUCUAACUUUCUUGCAGGUCAUCUUCAGAGCUACUGUAUGGAUCCGUACGUGGUCCUUACUCACUCCUACGGACUUCAGGGAGCCUUUGGUUACUAGGUGCAACCAGUGGGAGAUGGUAGCACGGGCUAUAUUCAACCAGUUCAGAUGGCGGUUGCAUAACAAGAUAGGAGUCUAGGGAGCUUGUCCUUUACAUUGUCAUACCUGUUGUAAUAUUGAACAUUCGCUUCUUUUUUCCUUUUUCGCUCCGCUUGCGAGCUGUAAUACUUUUAUGACUUUGUGCUACUUCGAGACUUCUUAAUAAAAUGGCUGCAUGCAUCAUCCGAUGCGGAGGCCGGGGCCGAGCCUCCAUUUUCAAAAAAGGGCAAAAAUAAAUUUAAUUCGAUAUGUGGAUUAGUCACAACUAGCUAGAACAACUUCUGGACCCUGACAAAAAAAGCGUACUAUUCUGCAUGACAAAUUCAUGACCAAUGAAUCAAAAGCCCUCGAGAAGGUCGCAAAUCCUCAGAGUUCCCACAUCCUCUAGACCAGUCAUUCCUCUACGCAAGGUCAGUCACCACUCACCACGCACCACCACAGGAGAGUGCCAGCAAGCCAAGAUUUUAGGUGUGACAGCCAUUGCCGAGAAGGAACAUGCCCCACAUGGCAAAGUUUUUUAUCUUUUUAUAGUAAAUUAUGAUUUUGAACUAUCUUAUAAAUCUUGUACUGAAUUUGAAGACCAUGAACAGUAAAAAUGACUUGGGCCCAUGAACACCGUAAACAAAAUGAGGGAUCAUUUCUAUACUAUCGAAAAAUAUAUGAUAAGUGUACUAACCUGCUGAAAUAUCAUAUCCAUCUUCUCUCAGUAGCCUGAAGGAAAGUGUUGCAUCUAGUAGAUCAUCACUGUCAACAAGAUUCAAGCACGCAUCCAUGCCAUCAUUGAUCUCGUUUUGGAAAUAGUGGUCGAUGCAGAGGCGCUUGAGGUGAUCAAUAUCAGUCAUCACCUUCCUCUUUUCCUUAUGGUUUUGAUGCAGCAUUUCCUUAACACUCUUCAGGCCCUCCUGUUAUUCCAUGGAGAGAGAAAAAAAAUUAAAAUGCAAAAAUGGGAGAUAUGGGAGACUUUAUGUUUCACUUUGCGAGGCUAAUUCUUCUAUUCAUCAAAGGGGAAAAAACAGGCUACUUUCCUAUCUUCUCCAAGGCUUAUAGCAGCGCAGUUAGUCAGUUCUUUUCCGAGUAAUUCAGUUAGUCAGAAAUUUAAAUGGUUAGAAAAAAUAUAUCUAAUUCAAUAACAAGCCUUAAAGUCACAUUGGAGAACUGAUGGUGAUGUGAAUAAAUUUCUACCAAGAAUAAAAGCUCUCAGUUCAUCUUGGUAGUCCAGAUAAAUAGGGGGUGUCUGCUAAGUCCAGAUGAGACGUGCGGAGGCUGGUUAAGCCGGAGAAAUAGAAAAACUAGGGCGUUUGAGCGCCAGGGGUACGCGGCUAAGUUUUUUUUACCGGAGCUGGGAGCUACCUGUGGAGAAUCUACCAUUCACUUGGUUUCUCUGAGAUUCGUGCCAGCCUUUUGUGUAUAAAGUAAAAAUAAUUUGCUAUGCAAUACAGACAUUAGACAAAGGAAUACAUCUAUGCAUGUGAGAUGUGUGACAACUUUUGAUGUGACAGGACUGGGUGACUGAUGAAGAGGACGGCGCAUGGGUUCUCUGCCCCAAACAAAAUAGUUGCAUUUUAUUUCCUGGUCAUAUUUUGAAUGGUUAAUAACUAUGAACCAAAUUUCAGUAAUUGAAUUUUUUUUGUACAUUUGAAGUCAGGGUGAUAAGACCUUUAAAACAAGACCGGUCUUGAAUACAAUUUGGCUAGAUUGAAUUUUACUGUUUCAAUUAGUUUCACAUUGCAAAAAGUACGAUUUUAUUCAUUUCAAUAAACAGAGUUUACUCAUUCCAAAAAAAAUAUUUCACUACUUUGAAAAUACAGAUUUCACUCAUUUACAAAUUGAUUUCAUAUAUAUAUCAAUAAGCUGGUAUAUAAUUUUUCAGAAAUAUAAUAUUUCAAGAAACUAAUUUCAGAAAACAUAUUACGCUCACUCAAUUGAAAUACUAUAUUUCACUUGUUUCAAAAAAGUGAUUUCACUCAUUACAAAAGAUAGAUUUCACUCAUUUUAGUAGUUUCAGAAAACUACUACACUCACAAUAUACACACUGAAAUAAGCGGUUUCCCUGAUUUCACUCAUUUGAAAGUACAAUUUUUGCUUGUUUCAUUUGAAAAGAAGUGCUUGAAUUAUUUCACUCAUUUUAGAGGACCGAUUUCAGUCCUUAUAAAAGAUUGAUUUUCAAUCGUUUUGACUUAAAAUAUAUGUUUCAAUUCCUUGAAAUGAUUUAUAUCUAUGAACUUAUGAAUUUUAUUUUUUGGACUAAGUGAAAUCUAUAAAACGAGAUAUUUUUUUGAGAAUGUGAAACACCUUAUUUUUAAAUCUAGUUGAAAAAUAUUCAAUAUUGAACUUGUUCUGUAUAUCAUGUUGCAAGGAAUUUGAAUAUAUAUAAAAAAUUCAGUAAUGGAUUUUUGUGAAAGACAGUGACCAUCUAAAAUUGUAAGCAAAAAUAAAAAGAUGCAUUUGUUUGAAAGGGCAGAGAGAGGAAAGAAGUUGCAUGCAUGCGUACGGUAUGCUGACAGAAGUAGUACCUGUAGCUGACAUACUAGUGCAAAGUGGUGAAAAGAGGUGGGCCAGCCAUCUGACAUACAACAGUGUUAUACAAGAGGUGGGUUAUGAAAAUAAAAAUGCUAUACUAGAGGUGGGCCACAUAAAUGCACGAAACGCAAACAAGACGAACGAUGGAUGCAUGGUUUGCCGGUACCUCCAGGAACCGGUAAAAAGAGGUUUGCGCGGGGGUACAUCGCCCCAAAAAAUUUCUCUUGUCUCGUGCACUUAUUCUUCUACCUUCGUAUAGGGUUAGACCCAACAGCCCAAACUUCGCGUGCCCAUGGCCACGAGGAACGAGGACGGCCGCGCGUUGCUGAUGGCCAGGAGGGGGGACUCGAUAUGGAGGAGAGGGAGGGAGGACGAGGAGACCGCAUAAGGCGCUGGAUUUGAGAGAGGAGAGAUUUUGGGGAGAUGAGACGGGAGAAUGGAUUUGUGUGAUUUGGAAGAGUCGAGGAGAAAGUGAGGGGAGAACAAAGAAUAGAAACCAAGGGGGAGAUAUUUUCUUUUUCUUUUUUUUAAAUCAAGAUAUUCUCUUUCUACUGGUGAUAAGGGCAUCUUCAACGGUGAACGCUUGUUGAGGCUUUUACAUGAUAGGAAAUGUACGGGAAAUGAUUGGGAUCAGCCGACGGAUAACGACGCGUGUGAUCCACCGCCACUGUGGCCGUUAGAUCAGGUUUUAAUCAGAUGGCUAGAAGCAACGUAUUACCUAGACUAGUUUUUGCAACUAAAGUCGUUCUUGCAAUCUCCCCCGCCGCAAAAACUGUUGUGUUGUGGGAUCUGGAUCCCCUCGACAUUGGCCACCACCCGUGCACCUCGCAAGAUCCCCAUCAAGCCAACUCUGUCUCGUGCUGCUUCGACCGCCGUCAUCGACGUUCGCCACCGGCAGCAUGCCGACAAGGUCGCGGGCGUGACCGCAGCCGUUGCCGCCCACCUCCACCAUGAAUGUUGGACGUCCUGGUGCGCCCGAACUCAAGCUGCAUCCCGCCGCCCAGUGGGAGCACCAGCAUCUGUGUCCUUGGGGGGGAGUUACGUCCACCUUCGCCCCACCGUCCCGAAGGAGCACCAGCCUUUCCUUAGGUCGACAUGGUCGAUGCUCUCUACAACCAGUUUCAGCAAUAAGGUAUGUUGCAAAAAAAAACUGUAACAAGACCUAUGUUGCAAAAUAAAUAGAUUUCAACAAGACCUUUGUUCCAAAAAAAAAUGCAACAAGACAUCUGUUGCAAAAAAACUGUAACAAGACAUAUGUUGCAAAAAAUAAUCGGCAACUUGAGCUAUGUUACAAAAAUUUCCGUAACAUAACCCCAACACGACAUGUGUUGCAAUGGUAGAAGGUUAAUCUUGGGCGCUCCAGAUUUGACGGCUCGUAAGGCGGCAGAUCUUUUAAAAAGAUCCAUGGGCCGACUGUGUAGGGUGUCCAUCCCUCCAACGCCAAUAGCAAUCUAUAGAUGGCCCAUGAUUUAUGAAAAAAGAAAAAAAGAAAACAGAAGCGCUCGAUGCCUUGCGCGGCAUUGACGCAAGCGAGAUUCCCUGUCUAGGGUGGGAAUCGGGCAUAACUGCCGGGAAAUCAACCUUGGUGUCGAUCGUUAGCAUCCGCGUUGUAAAUGCCCUAGGAGGAUGGAUUUGACCCUAAAGAAAGAUGGAUUUGGAUUUGGUUCCAGAUGUUACAAAUUUCUGUUUGGAAAUUCGGGGCCGCUCCAAUAUCCGAAAUUUGAAAAGAGUUUCAGAAAACAUAAUUCAAAAGAAUAAAAUAUGACCAAAAUCCAGUAGAGUUUUUGAAAACCGUGCAUCUUUGGUAAAAUGAAUCAUGUUCAUUGGAAGGGUCAACUUUCCAAGGGGCGUGCUAUUUGGCGGGCGCCCGCCAAAUUCCAUACUCAGCGGCCAAUCAAGUUUAGAAGUGAAUUUUUUCUUCAAAAAAAGUUUAGAAGUGUUUUUUGUUUAUUAUUGAAAUAAUAAUUGACAGAAAUAAAAGUAUUUUGGUUGUUUUUCUGUGAGGAAAUUUUGGUUGGGCUUCAUAGAUUCGCUAGUAAAAUCCUUCCAAAUAACAACCGUGUAAGCGAUAGUCUGGUUGCAUACCCCUUCGCUCUUGUACGCCAGGGCACCCUAUGCGCCUCCGUCGAUCGAUCUCGUGGUCUUAGUUCCAAGGAAGCGCGGUGGAUCUCGGCAGUUGCCGGCGGGAGGGCUUUGUUUUCAGAUGGUUUUUUAGUUUUGUUAGGCUUUGUGUACUACUCGGAGAGGGGAGGCGACGGCUCUCAGAAGAUGGAAUAAGGUCCUCCCAGCCUAACCCUCAUCUGGGUGGUGUUUCUAGCAUCAUCGAAGGGCAUGUGAAGGUUUCUCUCUGGCGGAUCUCAUGGGAUUAAGUCGGUGUUUGUCUUCCUGGAUCCACGUGGAUACGAUCUUCAUUCGUUUGUGUUCAUGUGCCUGCAAGUUGGAUCCUUCUGAUCUACACAUCUCUUCAUCGGCGGCGGUUGUUGACCUAGUGCGCUGGUCCAGUGGGGCUUUAUCAUGACGACUUCCCGACUGUCUACUACAACAAGAUUUGUCUGCCUCCCAUGAGGGAGGGGCGAUGACGGCGGCAUGCCUUCGGCUUGUUCCAGUGCAUGUAGUCGUCGCUAGGUGGUCUACGAACCUGGGUGUACUUUUUACUUCUAGUACUAUGUACUACGUUAACAGUUCAUGAAUAGAUUGAAAGUUUUUCACGCAAGAAAACCGUGUAAAAAAACAAAGUAUUGCAACCAGCGGCAGCUAGUAAUUUUUCUUAUUUUAGCAUAUAUGUAGUCUCUCUGUUCACGGAUAUAAGAUGUUUGAACUUUUACUGAGUCGGGUGUAUAUAGACAUCAGGGACGGGCCCAUAGUUGUGCGGGACUGUAUGGCCCACACAGGGCCCAUAGAUUUUGGGGGGCCCAAAUUGGUAUAAGGCCUAUGUAUAUUUUCUUCCUGCCGCGUCCAAGCGGCCUGCUCGAUGCCCCCCAAACGGGAUCCAUCGCAUCCUAUCCAGAGCUGGAGUUCCUAUGCGCCGCUCGUUGCGUGAAAAAUCCCCAAAAAGUCUGCUCGAGGGAGGGAUCAAACCAGGGACCUCCUGUUGCUUAUGCGCGAGCCUAGCCAACGGGAUAGAUGAGCUUCUUCGUGUACUAUGGCGUGUGAAGCUAAUGGUAAUAUAGAUCCGAGCAUUUUGUCAAAUUCUGAAGGCGAACAUUAUUUUGGAAAUAUGUUUUUUCAAAGGGACCACUUUUCAACUUUGAGAAGAAGAAAAAAAGCUCGAACAUUUCUUGAUAAACUGAACACUUUUUUGAAAAUGGCGAACAUUAUUGAAUAUGUGAAUAAAUUCUCAUUAAAGGCGACAUUUUUUGAAACUCUGGACAAUAAUUUGGAAACACGAAUAGUUUUGGAAUCGGUCAACAAUUUUUGAAACAAGAACAUUUUUUCAAACUCAGGACAAAAUUUGAAAAUGAAAACAUUUUAUAAAAUUCGAACAUUUUUUAAAAUUUUGAACAUUUUUUUAGAAAUAUGAACAGUUUAUCAAAUCAAGAAUGUUUUUUAGAACUCUGAUAUAUUCUAAAAAGGAAAAAGGAACAGGAGAAAAUAAGCAGAAAAACGAGAAAAGAAGAUGAACAUUUUUCAAAUUCGUUAGCAUUUUUUAAAAAGUCGAACAUUUUUUGAAAUUCCCAAACAAAAUUAGAAACAGACACAUUCUUGAAAGUUACGAACAAAAUUUGAAAUAGAAACAAUUUUUGAAACAACCAAAUAAAAUUGGAAAACAUGAACAUUUUUCUCAAAUUUGCGAAUGAAUUUUGAAAGAGGAACAUUUUUUACGAACUCCUAAACAAAACUUGAAAAUAUGAACAUUUUUUGAAUUUUGUGAACAAAAUUUUAGAACUAUGAAUAUUUUGAAUUUGUGAACAAAAUUUGGUAAGUAGAAUAAAAUUUUGAAAGAAAGGAAUUUCGAUAGCAUGAGCAGUUUUUAAAAUUGAAGAAUUUUUUUGAAAAUUUAGAACCUUUUUAAAAAUCUCAAACGUUUGGAAAUUCAAACAUUUUUUCAAUACAUGAACAAUAUUUUGAAAACCGGAACACAUUUUUUAAACUUUGAACAUAUUUUUUGAUAAGCGAACAAUUUUUUUAACUUCAAAAAUUUUUGUAAAGAACGAAUAGUUUUUACAUGCAGACAAAAUUUUAAUAGUUUGAAUAUUUUUAAAAUUAUGAAAAAUGAAAAACUGAAGAGGAGGAAAAAUAAAGAAAAGAAACAGAAAGAAAAGGAUGAAAAAAGAAAACUUGUAAAGGUAGAAAAGGAAAAGAUAGAGAAGAAAUAAUAAACAGGAAAAAGGAAAAAAAAGACGAAACAGAAACAGAAAAAAAGUGUUAGGAAGCUUCUAGAAGGUUCCCAAAACCGGAAAAAACGGCUGGGAACAAGCGAGAAGGUUCCUAAAACCGGAACAUCGAAACAUUUUACAGGCCGGCCCACGCGCGAACCCUCGAUCGAUCUCCCUGUGCGUCCGCCGGACAACUUGCGGCAGCGAGCGGCAUUCCAUCCAGAGGCAGCCAACGAUUGCCGCCCUCAAAAGAUUCAGCGUAGCGCUGGGUUUUUUUCCGCACUAAUUAUGUGUUGUACUAUGGCAGAAGAUAUAAUUACUUUAUGCCCAGCCAUAAUUACCUUCAUGUGCUGUGUACUGAAGCCCAAAACAGCCCACGCGCAUUAUCCUGUAUUUAGGCCACUGUGGUAAACUGUACUUUCAUUUGUAUGUUUGGCUUGUCUAAAAAAAAUUGUAUGUUUUCCAAGACCUAGCGUCCAUCUAUUCCGCGCCGCCGUCGCUGCCCUGUCGGUUGCCUUGUGAGUUGCCGGAUGCCACCUACACACCGCCGUCAUGGUUCGUCCAUCCUACACUGGCAGCAGUGCGGUGCGAGUAUUCAGUCCGCAGAUCACUGUAUUGUAUUGGCGUAUCCGUUUCUUGAGCAGUUAGAUCUAUAGGUAUGUAUUAAGUACUAGUUUUUAUUAUGUUGGUGGAUUUCAAUCCAGUAUUCUAGUGAUCUCGUUUACUUGCAUAUAAGACAACAGGUUAAUUCACAAAUUAGGUGUGUCGCUUUUCCAUAGUAGAUGACUUUGAUUAAUUUGGCAAAUCACAUGAUCACUUAACCCAAAUGAAAUUGCUGCAAUAGACCCCAUGGUCUAAAGUCAAUCUAAUAAUAAAGAUUCACAAGGAUCAUUUUCCGUGAAGUUUUAUCUAUUGCGUGGUCAUUCUCUUCCCUCAACCCCUUCAUGUUUAAAUCCUGGCUCCACUUCUGCGCUUGAGAGCAAAGUGUUGAAGAAGAUUAAUUACAAGGAUAUCAUUGAACAUUUCAUUUCAAAGAAUACUAAAAGAAUGACUUGUUCAAAUAAAUAUCAGGCAACCGGGAGUUGAAUAGGUAUGCUUUUUUACACAUCCAAUUGCUAUGUAAGACAUUAUAUCAUAUACGUUAUAUUGCUCAUUAGUUUAUUUUAGUGAGAUGGGGCCCCAUUUUUUAGUUUCGCACAGGGCUCUGGAUUUUGCCGACCCAGCCUUGAUAGACAUGUUCUAAUGUGUUUGUUCAGUCAUUUUAGUCUGUACAUAGUAAUAUUAAAAUAUCCAGAACAUCUCUUAUAUUUAUGAAGCGAGUGAGUACUAGUUAUGUAAUGUGUCUAUUACCGGUGCUCGAGUGUCUGAGUGUUAACUUGGAACCCACUAAGAUGAAUUUCUAGACCCGUCGCUUAUUGCAACGUUAGAUUGAAUCAAUAGAUAAUGAUAUUCUUCUCGCCUAGCUCAUCACCGAGACAUUCGAUUUAAAUAAUCUUGUAUCCUUAUUAUUGGCACAAACGCAAUCAGAAGUUUCUUUCUCUUUGGGUCGCGCUAACUGCCACACGUGUGGCAGGAAGGAAGACGCACCACACGUCUCUAAUGUAAACAGAUUGCCACGUCAUCGCAUGCAUGCAUGCAGGAAUUUUUUUGGAUUUUCAGUUUUUAAAAUGUUUUAUCUCUUAAACGAAAAAUCCGAUUGAAAAUCCGUUUUCACCAUUAAAUCCCUCGCGAUGAGAUCUUCGAAACUAGAUCCAAUGUUGAUAUGUUUUAAUGAAUUUUUUUUUGGAUUAAAAGUUGCCAUGUCUAUUGCAUAUGAAUUGUCAUGAUGUUUACACUGAAGUUGCCAUGAUAUGUUUCAGCUCUUUUCUUCUACAUUUAAAAGUAAAUUUUGACAUUUAUAAAACGGGGAAUUAAGAAACUAGACUUGCCAUGAACCAUAAACUAAAAUUGCCAUGAUACAUGCACGUAAAAUUGCCAUGGUUCAUACAAAAAAUAAUUUUCAUGGUCAAAGUACUAGAGUUGCCAUCAUCAAAAUACUAAAAUUGCCAUGAUCUACAAACUAAAAUUGCCACAUGGCAACUUUAGUUUAAGCCCUAUGGCAACUGCAGUGUAAACAUCGUGGCAACUUCUGACAAAAAAAAAAUCAUCGAAACAUAUCAACAUGGGGUCUAGUUUUGAAGAUCUCGUCGAGACGGAUUUAAUGGUGAAAACGGAUUUUUAGUUCGCUUUUUUAUUUAGAAGAUACAACAUUUUUAAGCCGAAAACCAAAAAAAAUUCUGCUGAUGUCAUCUAUUCAUACGUGGCAAAAUGAGUGGUGAUGGAGGCGUGUGGGCGAUGUGCAAACGCCCACACGUGUGGGCGUUAACAUUUUCGUUUUCUUUCUGUCACCAAAAUACUUCACUUACUGAGGGUUUUCUAUCCUGCUCCCUCUUAUUUUCCAUUUUCACAUGAAAGAUACGAGUAUAAAAUAGAUCUAAGCCGUUGAUUGUACUAAAUAGUGGGUUUGAUUAACUCUUAACUUCUUACCUUCCGUGUGAAAAGAGAGGUUUUUUAACAUGCUCCUCUUACUCUCUGUCUCCGUGCAUGUUAAAAUUGCUCUUAUAAAGAUUUACAAGACGACGUGCGAGUCGAGUCGAGCACCUCACCUGGAAGUCAAAACCAUCGGCCAUCGCGUGGGAGUCCCGGGUAGGGCUCGUCACCAUGCAAGGGCGGAAGGAUCGACGUCGCCGGCCGCCAACUCCGGCCACCGGCGAGGCUGAGAACAGCGGUGGCUCGACGGAGGAGAAGACGUGCGCCGCCAUCAGUCAGUUGCGACUAUCACCUCUGUAACCACACAACUGUUGGCUAAGGAGCAAGUGAGCAACUACCGUACUUGUCAAGCCGCCACGAACAAAUACAUAUAGGCAGCGACGAACAUUUAUAUUACUGCGCCGACGUACACACACGCAGGAUGUCUGGCCAGAAAAGGAGGUAGGAUUUUUUUUGCCGACCUUGCGCUGAAACUUCUCCACGUCCCUGGAUCUAAAUGACUAGGGUGAUUCGUAGCCUCCUUUCCCAUACAAAUGUUGUGGCGCCUACGGGGUAAAGCAGCAGCCAUAUAUAUCUGUGCUAGGUUGGAAGAGUGCUCACUAGAAGAGAGCUACGUCGUUGUUGCUACUAUAGAUUGCGCCCGCCCUGAAAUCUCAAUGACCGGGAUGGGUUUCAUACGGAAUCUGGGACGAAAUCUGCAAGUGGAGAGGAAGAGAUUUCGACAACAUAAUUUUUUCCAACUUCACAGAAAUGUACGUGCAUUUUUUAGGAAUGUUAGUUCAAACAUUUUAACAAAAAUGUGUGUACGACUAAAAAAGGUGUUCACGUGUAUGUAAAAAAAUGCCAUGUAGAAUAAAAAUGUUCAGUAUUUUUAUUAAAUGUUCAUGUAAUUAAGAUGUGUUCAUCUAUUCUGAAUAAAAUACAUGUACUUUUAAAGAAAUGUUCACAUAUUUUAAAAAGUGUUCAUAUACUUUCAAAACAUGUUCAUGCAUUUCCUGUGAAAGCGAUCAUGUUAUUAAUGAAAGCAUUCGUCCAUUUGAGAAAUUAUUCAUGUAAUUAAACAAGUUUUCCACCCAUUUGAAAAGUCUUCAUGUAAUUUUAAAAUAGUGUAAUAUUCAUGUAUUUUUUUAAACCCAUAUUUUUUUAAUAUCUUAGUAUAUUUUUAAAACAAAACAUGAAACUUAAAAUAGAAGAGAAAAAGGACAAACAAACAAGAAAAUAAAAAGGAAUAAAACACAAAACAAAAAAGAAACAUGAAAAAAGGAAAAACCCAACACAAACCAGCACAAAAAAACCCGACAAAAGAAAAUAGGAAAAAACAACUGAAACCAGUCCGGUCCACACCCCCACAGCUGGGUCUGGUCCCUACCUUCGCCCAAAUUUUUAUGGCCAGCGAUUUUGCUCGGCAGGUUCAUUAAUGAAAUGAAGUGUUUCGAGCUAAAAAAAACGGUGAUCCAUAAUUUUUUCUUCCACGUUCGUCCGUGGACAGGGGGACCAGUCCGCGUACACGAAUGCGAGAGGCCGUCAUUCAACGCUAUCCUAUAUAUGUCCGCCAGUAAAAGGUAAUUUGAAAUUCAAAUUUAGUUUGAUCCACACAGUGUGUCACAUCACACCAGCGCCAGAUCGCAUGCUCUAUCACAGCCAAAAAGAGACAAGUAUGCUUAGUUUUUACAUGCCGAAUCCAAAAAAAUAUCAGUCUGACAAUCAGUGCAAUUUUUCAUAAAAUGGUGUGUGUGUGGCGCUAUCGGCAAGGCACGUUUCCUCCGUUCGGGCACCACAUGCGUUCUAAAAUAUAACAUCUAACUAAUGUAAUGAGGAACAAGCUACAUUAAUAAUAAAUGCACACAUUUCGGAACAUGACAUACUCCCUCCGUCUCAGUUUACAAGUCCUACGCGUAUACCUAGGUUACCAUUUUUAUCACCCUAAUAUAAACUAUAUAACACAAAAAUUAUACGGUUUGAAAAUAGAACAUCUGAAUUUUAUAUUAAUAUAUUUUUUAUAAUAUAUGAUUUAUAUUAGGUUGGUCAAAUUGACGACCUAGGGGUACGCGCACGCCCUUUAAACUGAGAGAGAGGGAGUACUAUCAUGGAUAAAUAAUGAAAUAAAUGAAUGACAUAAAUGUCAUCCAAUCGCCAAUGUAAAGAAUAUGCUCUCAUGGAGCUUACAACCAAAUCGAGUUUACUCGAAUUUAUUGUAUGAAAUCAUGGAAUCAUGAUAACUAACGAGGUAAGCUAUAUAAACGAGUAUUUAUAUAGGGGCAGGGGUCAAGAGAUAAAUACUCAUUUAACGUAAAGUGUGGAACCAGAAGGGGCUAAGCCGUGCGCAUCGCACGUGUCCGCCGCCACCCUCGUGGUGGACCCGGUUUCCCAACAAGUGUGUGUGCGCGCGUAGUGGCGCCGAGCAUUGUGGCUGGCUUUUGUGAGUGUGUGCAUUGGAGCUAGCUUGGGUUAAAAAAGCCCCCGUGUACUCGUUGUAAGUGCGUCGGUAUGAGCCAUGCCACGGUGCGUUGCCGAGCCCGGGUAUGUGCCCAGUAAAUUGACGCCGUUCGUGUGAUGUGGCGUUUGUGCGCCGGAAAUAUUUGUGUCCCUCUUCUUUUCCACCUAUGUCCGAGCGAGUGUGAGAGCGAGGUAGUCCGGUUUGUCCCAACACAGCCAGCAAGACGGCCACUAGCUGCUAGCGGCUUAGAUGUACUAAAAUGACAUUGUCGCCUCUUCAUGGUGAAAUCAUUAAUUUCCUUGUAAACACUAACAAUUGGCAUCACCUUUGUGUUAUUUGUAUUAGUUGGCGUGCAUCAACACAAUCGUGGGCCUAAGCCCAGGCCCAUGACUCCCUACCUGGCAGUCUAUAUAAUGCAAGAGUUGGCCAGUGUAGUUGAUAGACACACUCUCUCCUCGCGUAACCCUAUCCGUCAUCUAAAUGUACCUUUCAGUGUGCUGCUUCUGGCGAUCCCAUCCCGACAACCGCAUGCACAGUUGGCCAAGAGAUCCCAUCCUGACAACCGCAUGCACAGUUGGCCAAGAGAGCGGGUGCCCUCGAAACCACGUCCUUCGAGAUCCUACCCGGGAGAAGGGCCAUAAGGUUUUUGGGGAGCGUCUCUGUCCUCCUCUACUUCAACUACUUUCCCUGCAUGAUCCCAUGGCGAACGAUGACAAAGCCGCCAAGAAGAAAGCCACGGACGACGUCAAGGUUGUUGCUGUCGCUGCCUGGCCAACCAAAGAGUAUGACUUGUUCAUCCCCUACUAACUCGUUCAUCUGCUAGCCAUAUAUGUCCUGUACAUAGAUGUUUUGUUCUUUGUGUUAUACAUGCUCACAUGUUUAGCUAUCACCUAUCGGUAUGAGUUGCAUACUGUGAAUCAUAUGCUUACUGUUAACUCGUGAACUAGAUUAAUCGAAAAGGUGGUGCUAAUAUUUCCAACAUAUUUGAUUUGAUUUCCUAGCAUGCAUCCAGUAUUGCAGAUGCGAACGCGUACUGCAAAUCUGAGAAAGUCUACGCAACUCUAUUUCAUUAUAUGCAAGUCACGCGUGCAUACGGAACCUGAAAAGGGCAGUGAAGCUUUGUUGGUGGCCAGAGGUGAUAAAAUGCAUCUGUCCCUCAAGCAGGCUCAGAAAAAAUCAGCUCUACUAAAUGAUACAGAUUUUCUUACUGGCAUGCAAUGCCAAACUCGAGAAGCAGCUAAAUAAAUGUAGCAGCAACAGAACGUGCUAAUGCGAGGCGGGCGAAGGUUCUAUCUUCCCGGUACAGCCUAAGAUUAUUUCACUUCACCUUUGAACCACUUUCCAAUACAGACGAAGUCACCACCAACGAAUUUCGACAGAACUAAGUUGGAACCGAUUUCACCGAGCAUCUUAACCACCAUCUUCUGCUACCGCCUAGCUAAACUGGUGGUCCACUGGCAUCCCAGCGUUUUUACCCCUGGCAUGGGGUGGGUUUAUAUACACAAUCUGGGCUGUGAAACAACAGGAACCAGGAUUCAUCGUUUUACAAGGUGGACGUGAGCUUGCAACUGUGCGAGGAAAUUCAGCCAUGCCUGAUGGACCAACCCAGCAUUUCCCCUGCCAUCGUCGUAAGUGCGAGAAGAGCUAGUUGGAUGGAGGUCCAGAUCCACCCAUGCGCCUCCUGAGCCGGCCCCGAGUCAACCGAAUAGCCUCCUGGAUGAGCGUCUCCUCGUCUUCAGGCAUUGUUGGGCGGGGUGGCACGUUGCUUGUCGAAGGCCCAGAUUGAUCAACCAGCAUGUCUUCACUCUUUGGGGGGCUGUUGCCGGCGACAGGGCCAGGACAGGAAGGUGUUUGUUGCUGCACAGGAGGCACUGCGCCAGGAGGGGCAACUGGAACUGGGCCUUUAUCUUGCACCUGCAUCCUUGGUGGAGUAGGAGGAACUUGGGCGGCCUGUGGCGGCAUCGGUGGUGCCGUUGGUGCGGGAACAGGUGGUGGUGCAGGAUUCGCCAUCCGAGUCCGUGGAGGUGGUGGACGCUGCUGCUGUUGCUGUGCCUGUAUAGAGAGACAGUAAAGUAAGUACAUGAGACAUAUACAGCUGACACUGACACACACACGCACAAGCACACAAUACUAGGUAAGUUAAUGAGUUCUAAAAAACCAUCUGACUCUGAAUCCUGCAACUGGUAAACAGAAAGCCCAUGCUGCACUCUCGACAAAUGCACACAGAACUUCUGUACAUGAAUAAUCCUAACCCUUCCUAACAAAUGGUAUGACGAAAUGGUGCAGCAGUUAUCACAUUCCAAUAUGGAAAUUAUAUAUUAUACGUGCUUCUCAGGUUACUAACUCUAACAAAGGAUGUAACAAGAAUGGAAGUGCUAUUCAUGCAAGGUGAUACAAACUAUGUGGAACUAUAGAUCAAACUUUGCUAGAAGUACCAGAGGUAUGGAGCAAAACUAAAUUGCAGGUCGUCAACUUGAUCACUGUCAGUACACGAUCAAAUAUCUAUGUUGUCUUUAACAAGAUAUGUAAAGCAUCAAGCAUGACAAGGUAAUUCUAGACAAGUUUGCUUUUGUAUGUGUGCCCAAACAAAUAAGAGCUAAGCAACCUAGAGGUCGAGGACACCAUGAAUAAUCCUAUUGUGAUAAUUCUUGCAAGAAAAUUGGUACAGGAGUAUGGUAGAUGAAUGGCAUGAUACUACAAAAUCAUUGCUAGCUAAUUUUGUCCACGCAAAUGCCACAAUUAACCACAACUCAGGCUCCUAAGCUGUAAAAUAAACCAGAGAAACAAAUGCCAUUUCCUACCAAAUACCAACAGAGAUUACUGAAUAGUGAUAAAUCCAGGUACAAUCGUAAGCCAGUUUGAUUUGGCAGAACAAUUGGGUUUGACUAAACUGCGCCCUAACUGAUGAAAAGAAAAAGGGAUAAUGUUAUAAUGCAACUACAUGGUGAUGAGUUGAUGACAUAGCAGAACUUGUGCGGCACACAAAUUCUUCCAAAGGGUGCGACCAGGACAUACACACAAAUUCUUAGAGUGCACGCAAGGUAGAAUAUUCAACUGAACACUAGGGGGAAAUAUUUCUAGAAUUUCACAAUAUGGUGUGAAAACACUCCAGUAGUAGCGCUCUUAGAAGACCAGAGCAAAUUUCCCAACCUAUCGAUAAUUCACAGAAAUUCUCAGAACUAGGAAAAAUUAGAUGCAUAUUCUCUCUAUUAUAAAUGGAAGGUAAAUGCAUAUGCCAAAAUUUUGGAGCAAUAUAUGAUCUCUGAGCGUCAUACUAUAUUUCUUUUACCCAAACAUAGGAGUAUUAUUUAACUCCAAUUGUAACUACAAAAAAAAAUCAGUAAACACCACUCGUAGACGAGAGGCUGAAUGUAAAAAGAAGUGUUGCAUAAAGGAACAUAGAAAUGGGUAUUAUUCAUGUUUUUCUAACUUCCACUAGAAAUCAGGGAAUCAAUGUGAAUUUAAGAUCAUUUUAACAUUUAAAAAAAACAUGUGGUGGUAGGAUGCAAUACAUACAUCGUUAUCAAUACAACAUGUGAAUAAAUUCAUGGCCUAGCAUUUAAAAUUCUACUCCAGCCUACAACAUUGGGCUCAAAUAGAAGAAAACCUAAAUAGCACUACCAUUAUGGAACAAGCCACCAGAUUAUAUCAUAUACUCCCUCCGUCCCAUAAUUCUUGUCUUAGAUUUGUCUAAAUACGGAUGUAUCAAGUCACGUUUUAGUAUUAGAUACAUCCGUAUCUAGACAAAUCUAAGACAAGAAUUUUGGGACGGAGGGAGUACAAACUAUAGAAGUUCAGUCAUCAUAUAGUGGGUAGUGUUACACUUCUCGCUAAAAUAGACAUCAUAGCAGUACAAAAUGACUGUCACACAAGCUUUAAAGUUUUGAAAGUACCUGAGAACGAGAUCCUUGUGAUUGAGAAGCAAUAUAUUGCAAGAUUUCAUGGAACCUUGACUGGCUGUAGUCUGCAACCUUGUGGAAGUAAGUAACAGCAAUAUCACUAGCCCUUGUCCUCAACUCAAGAAGAUUGCGAUCAAUCUCAGAUUCGUGUUUUGCGAUAUAAGGCUUGAAGAACGACUCAUAGACAUAUGAAGUCCCCUGGAAUAACCCUUUGUUAGAGACAAGCCAUAAGACAUAACAUGUUAUGGCAACACAAAAAGCAGGAAACAAAACCUGUGUCUUAGGAUACCACAAAUACACAAUAAAAGCCAGCUUUGCUUCACUAUACAUUGGCAACCUGUAUGAAAAUGGAACUAUCAACCAUCAAGCAGAUGAAGUCCCCCAACUGUAAUCACCCAAAAUCCGAAUUCAAAUGAGUCACAUUACCAUGAUAUGAAAUUAUCCCCAACUCUCUCGAAAACAGUAAGCAUUGCAAGUAAAAUCCUGCAAAACCAUGGUCAUGCAUGUGAGACCAAGCAAAAACAAAGAAUGAUAGCCCAAAAUAAAAUGGAAGGACGUCAAAGACAUACCAGUACUGACACCAGAACCGCAACUGCUCAAUCUCAGGCCUAUUCAGCUCCACUGUCUUGUAACAAUCAUAAGCUGGAUAUGCAUAUCCAAGAACAAGUCUGCAAAACGGAUAAAUAGCAGAAACAUUGUGGGUGUAAACAAGAAUCACACCAUUGCUGUGAUUAAAUAAGAACUGAAUUGCUGCUUACAUUAAAGCUCUGGUGAUGAAUGAUCCGACAACCAUCUUGACCCCUACACCACAGAAACAUCAAUUACAUAUGUUGUCAAUUGCCAAAAGCAAGAUAGAUAAAUGUCCUAUGAGGGUCAAAUAUAUAACAGGCUAGCAGUCAUUAUGCUAUAUACUUCCGCAAGCUCCUUCACAUCAGCAAAACAGAACACAAAAAGAUGGAAAUAGGCACCGCAUGCUAGAUUAAGCCUUUAUCUUGCUGAUUACUUCAGCCAUCACACAUCUAGAAAGCCUUAUCCAAUCAUACUAGCACCAUAAAGUCAUACUCCCUCCGUUUUGAAAUAAUUGUCUUUCUAGAGAUUUCAACAAGUGACUACAUACGAAGCAAAAUGAGUGAAUCUACACUCUAAAACAUGUCUACAUACAUCCGUAUGUUGUAGUCUAUUUGAGAUGGCUAGAAAGACAAUUAUUUCGGAACGGAGGGAGUAGGUGAUACCAAACCAUUUGGCUAGAGUUCGAUUUUGUUAUAACAAACAGGGGCUACGCAGAGUAGGGGAAACCUAACGACUGCCUGUCCUGGCAAGAACAAACAAAACUUCUGUUAAAGUUGGGUCUAGAUAAGAACAGGGGGUGCAUCAAGCAUCAUAAGUUCAUAUCAGUCCAUUUUGCUAGAUUUCGAUUUUGUUACAGCAAGCACUGCACGGAAUAGGAGGAAAUCCAAACAAUUACAUAUUCCCAGUCAGACCAAACAAUUUACUGUUACAUUUUGGCUUUAGUAUAUGAUAGCAGAAGGUACACCUCCUCUGCCCUAAGAAAAUGACCAAGCAAAUCAAUCCGAACAUGAACUGGGAGGCAAAUUGAAUGGAGGGACCCGAUACAGAUCGAUUCAAAGGAGCAGCCAAAAGUACACCUAUGCUCUCAGAAGAAGACCAACCAAAUUAAUCUAAACAUGAACUGGGAAGCAAAACAUAAAAAGAUGAAAAUAGGUACUGCAUGCUAGAUUAAGCCUUUAUCUUGCUGAUUACUUCAGCUAUCGAACAUCCAGAAAGCGGCAUCCAAACAUGCUAGCACCAUAAGUUCAUAGGUGACACCAAACCAUUUUGCUAUAGUUCGAUUUUGUUAUAACAGAGGCUACACAGAGUAGGGGAAACCUAACGACCACCUGUUCUGGCCAGACCAAACAAAAUUUCUGUUGAAGUUGGGAAAUUUCCAACAACAAAAUUGAUAAAUGUCCUAUGAGGUCAAAUCUAUAACAGGUUAGCAGCCAUUAUUAUGCCACAGCCUUCCACAAGCUCCUUCACAUCAGCAAAACAGAACACAAAAGGAUGGAAAUAGGCACUGCAUGCCAGAUCAAGCCUUUAUCAUGCUAAUUAAUUCAGCCACCACACGCCUAGAAAGCAUUAUCCAAUCAUGUAUUCAUGUUAACAGCAUAAGUUCAUAGGUGAUACCAAACCAUUUUGCGGAGUUCAAUUUUGUUAUAACAGAGGCUACACUGAAAAGGGGAAACCUAACAACUACCUGUUCUGGCCAGACCAAACAAAAUUUCUGUUAAAGUUGGGUCUAGAUAUAUAGAAUAGGGGGUGCAUCAAGCAUCAUAAGUUCAUAUGAGCCCGUUCUGCUAGAGUUUGAUUCUGUCACAACAAAUACUACAGAGAAUAUGGCGAAAUCCAGACAAUUACUUGUUCCCAGUCAGACCAAACAAUUUACUGUUACAUUUCUGCUUUAGUAUAUGACAGCAGAAGGUAAACCUCCUCUGCUCUAAGAAAUGACCAAGCAAAUCAAUCUGAACAUGAACUGGGAGGCAAAUUGAAUGGAGGCACCCGAUACAAAUCAAUUCAAACGAGCAGCCAAAAGUACACCUACGCUCUCAGAAGAAGACCAACCAAAUUAAUCUAAACAUGAACUGGGAAGCAAAAAAUAAAUAAACGGAGGCACCAGGUACAAUAUCAAUUCAAACGAGCAGCCGAAAGCACCUCGCGCAAACCCAACCAGAUCAGCCUCGGCCUAGCGCGAAACCAGAAUCAACACGCCGCAGAGGAACCGCUACAUCAAGCUCGCAAAUCCCUCCAAAUGCGAGCGGCUCGCAAAUCCCUCCAAAUGCGAGCGGCUCGCAACCCCUGGGCGCCACGCCCCGCGCGGUUGCGGCCCCCGAACGGCACCGGAGGAGCAGCGCACCGCAGCGCGGAGAAUCGAACGGGGCACGGGACGCGACAACCGCAGCCUAAUCCAUACCCGAAACAACCAAACAGCGUAUCCGUGGCGUGUGCGGGGAGAAGUUAACCCCCGGCGGAGACGGAACGGGGAGGGGGCGGCGCCGCUGCUGCCGCCCCUACAGAAGGACCAAAUCGAAGCAAAGUGGGGCGGGGAACGAAUACCUUUCCUCCCGCUGCAAGCAACGGGCCGGCAGCGCGAGGUGCUGGCCCUCGGCGGCGGCGACGACGCGGGCUGUUGCCGGAGCAGGGGAGGGAGCCGCGGAAGCUUCCAGGAGGUUCCGGGAGGGAGGGGGCCUCCGUCCCGGGCCGGGUCGGCGGCGAGGCGGCCGAGGGGAGAGGGGGAGGGAAUUCAAAAGAGGGGUUUGCCUUUGGGUUUGGGGAUGGAAAAGGGGCGAGGAAAUCACCGUCAGAAACCGCUACAUAGCGUCCCACGCUCACGGUGGGGCCUACCCGUGUGCUACGCUGAUAGAUGGGCCCAGACGUGGUAUGGUCCCACCUGUCUGCCGGGCUUAGCUUGCUGCUGUCGGCUCGGGUGGGUGGAAGGGGUCGGAGGUGUGCGGCGCCGUUCUGGUCUGCGGGGGUCGGAGGGGUGCCGCGCACGCGUCGGCUCUUGUACCCGUGCGAAGUCGGGUGCGGUGGGCCGCAGUGUCAGUGGGUGGCCUCGGGUGGAUAAGAGCGCGCCGAGGUUAAGUAAAGAAUUGUGCUGUGUUUGGGUGCGAGGGGCAAGGAAUAUGUGCACGCCGGGAGGAGGGGAUGGGAUCCCAGCCCAUCUGACAACCCCCUCUCUCUCUCUCUCUUCGACACGCUUGUCAAGUGUUGCGGCAUCGUUUUGAUUUAACGAUGUGGUAUAUCGUAAAGUUUGAUAAAAAAAAUAUACUCCCCAUCCAUAAUAAGUGUCGCGAUUUUGAACUCAGAUUAGUAGGUGCAUAUACCGUGAUCGCUCCAGCUGCAAAGAGGGAAUAGAUUGUGUGUGGUAUCUCGCAAAAGAAAAUAUACACUACUUAGGGCAUCUCUAACAGAACCACCAUCACACAACUUUUUAAAUGCUCUCUCAAAUUUUAACUCCCCAAAACUGAGAAGUUAAGAUAACGGACAGACUUAACCGAACUUCUAUAUUUAGAGCAUCUCCAAUAGAUGGUCCAAAAUUUGACGGUCCAAAAUUGAAGAUGUAAAAUUUACACCGCCAAAAAGUGCGCUUUGGGGUUCUCAUUGCCUCAAGAUGUUUUUGUUACACUUAGGGCCUGUUCUGAACUUCUCUUGCUUCUCAAAACUUCACAUAUCCAGCUUCUUCUCCUCGCUUCUAACUCCACCUAGCGAUCGCAGGAGCGUUCGGGAGCAUCGACAGCUUCUCCCAGCGCUGCAGCCCAGCUGGGAGGGCUGUGGCCUGUUGGGCCGGCUGGAGGCAGCCAAAUUCGGUCCAACAUGUCAGGUGAGGCGGACUCCGGCGACUCGACGAGGUGAGGAAGAGAGCGCGAAGGGGAGGAGCAGGAAGGGGAAGGGGCGGUGUGGUGCGGGGAGGUGAGCGGCACCGCAGCCGUGGUCAGGCGCCGGAUCCCGCUGUGGUGCCUACGCCCGUGGGCCCGUUUUCGAUGCCUUCCCCGGGCUGCGUCGACGGGAACCGGCGGGGAUUGCCCUGGAACGGCUCGAUCUGUUGCCGGGAAGGAGCGGCGGCCGGCGACGACGCGGCGGCCGGCAACGGCGUGGCGGCGGAUUGGGUCAGCGCCGCUCGAGGGGAACGAGCUGGGGAGAGCUAGCGAUAGGAUUUGGGGGAGGGGAACGAAUCGGUAAGUUUUGCGGUGGCAUACGGCUGUAAUUUGGGCAAACUCCAGUUUCUCUUUUCCGUGGAGCUGGGCCGAGGCAGCUUCGAAUUUUUACACUGCGAUUGGGCUCAGCUUCCCGAAGCGAGCUUCUCGGGGCUUUUCCGUUCGGCUCAGCUCCCGCUCCAGAAUUUUGCAAAGCGUGGAGCGGGAGGACAUCCGAACAGGCCCUUACUGAGCGGAAGGGGGCAUGUGAACCUUUUGGAGAACUUGUUGAGGCUUGGGUACUGAUUGAAGGAAUUCCUCCUAAAUGGUGCACAUGGAAAGUUUUUGCUCAGAUUGCUUCUUUGUUUGGGGUACUGACUGAUGUAGGCUGGAAUGGCAUGUUCAGGACUUUCUUUGAGAAUGUUAGAAUAAAAAUUGCUUGUAGGGACCCCACAAAGAUCCCAUUUGAGAGGCUCAUUGAGAUGAAGAAGAAGUUGUUUUUACUGGGCUUUGCUGCGGAGGGAUUUGAGCAAGUUGGUGGGAUUGACUCUGUUAUUGAUAUUGAGGAUGAUGAAGAAAUAGAAGGAGAAGGUGUCGCUGAGGGACAGGAGGAUGAGGGUGGAAAUGCUUAGAAAGAUGGACUGGAAGACUUACUUGAUAGUGAGGAGGCAAUUGAUGAGCUAGAUAAGGCUAAUAUAGCUAAUCAAAGCAAGAAUAAACAGAAAGGGCCCCAAGCUGACAUGUUCUGUUCUGACUCUGAUCAUGAAACCUUUAUCCUGGAGUGUGUUGCUGCUGAUAAAGAAGAACAUCUUGUAACUGAAAAAGGAACUGAAUCUAAGGAUUUCUGUCCUUCUACUUUGAUGGAAUCCACUCCAUCCAAGCCACUAGUAAGGAUUGCUGAGGGGAUCACCAGUUCUGGAGGGAAGCUUGAAAGCAUGGAGUAUUGUGAGAGUAUACUUAAAUCUGUUGACUUUUCUGAGUCCGAGGAAGAGGAUUCCAAGGGUGAUGAACUUGAAACUCUUCCUCCUGAAGUUGUACAAGCCAUUCAAAACAUAUCUCUGAAAAGAUCUUUGCUGGAAACCCUUGAUCAGGAUCAGGAUCCAAGGGCAAAAGCUGAGAAGACCAAGUGGAGGCCUGUGCUGGUUCAGAAACCUGCUACUAGGGGGCAUGGCAAUUUGAAUAUCAUGGAAAAAGCUGCUGCUUACAAGAGGAAGCAGAAUCUGGAAAUUCCAAAAACUUUCAAAGGUAAAUCAUUCACUAAUACUGAUCAUAACAUUCUGUUUGAAAAAAUGAGUAAAAUUGAUUUAUGCAUUGGGGGGAUGAGGGGAUGAAUAGUGUAUCCAUAGCGUGUGCGGGGAGAAGUUAACCCCCGGCGGAGACGGAACGGGGAGGGGGCGGCGCCGCUACUGCCGCCCCUACAGAAGGACCAAAUCCAAGCAAAGUGGGGCGGGGAACGAAUACCUUUCCUCCCGAUGCAAGCAACGGGUCGAAGCGCGCGAGGUGGUGGCCCUCGGCGGCGGCGGCGACGCGGGACCUCAUCGGAGCAGGGGAGGGAGCCGCGGAAGCUUCCAGAAGGUUCCGGGAGGGAGGAGGGGGCCUCCGUCCCGGGCCGGGUCGGCGACGAGGCGGCCGAGAGGAGAGGGGAAGGGAAUUCAAAAGAGGGCUUUGCCUUUGGGUUUGGGGAUAGAAAAGGGACGAGGAAAUCACCGUGAGAAACCGCUACAUAGUGUCCCAAGCUCACGGUGGGGCCUACCCGUGUGCCACGCUGAUGGAUGGGCCCGGACCUGGGAUGGUCCCACCUGUCUGCUGGGUUUAGUUUGCUGCUGUCAGCUCGGGUGGAUGGAAGGGGUCGGAGGUAUGCGGCGCUGUUCUGGUCUGCGGGGGUCGGAGGGGUGCCGCGCACGCGUCGGCUCUUGUACCCGUGCGAAGUCGGGCUAGCUCGGGUGCGGUGGGCCGCAGUGUCAGUGGGUGUCCUCGGGUGGAUAAGAGCGCGCCGAGGUUAAGUAAAGAAUUGUGCUGUGUUUGGGUGCGAGGGGCAAGGAAUAUGUGCACGCCGGGAGGAGGGGAUGGGAUCCCGGCCCGUUUGACACCCCCCCCCCUCUCUCCCUUCGACACGACUUGUCAAGUGCUGCAGCAUCGUUUUAACUUUCCGAUGUACUACUAGUACCAUCGUAAAGUUUGAUAUAAAUGAAAAAAUGUACUCCCUUCCUCAAAUUUAAUACAAAGUUGACACUUGUUUUGAAACGGAGGAAGUAUACGAAGUAUUUUUACACUUGUUUUGAAAAGGACAUAGAUUAGCACGCGAAAUUUCUGCUCCCAGGCUCAUCUGCACCUGCGCUCAUAAAAAAAUCAAAGAAAAACUAGAAAAAUCCUUUUUUGUGUGUGUGGCUCAUCUGCACCUGCGCAUGGCCCCUCCUGAUUUGUCUUUUUUGUCGAGAGCUGUUCAGAUGUCCAAAUGAGUUAAAAUUUGGAGCUGACAUCACGCAUCAAAUUAUCUACCAGACAAAAAAUGUAUAUUUUUUUGAAUUUUUUUAGUAUUUGUUUUGAUUUUUUCUGAGCGGGAGCAUAUGAGCCUGGGCACCGAGUUGGAUUUUCACAUAGAUUAUGUACAUUGUGCAAUAGUACCUCGCAAAAGAAAAUAUAAAUUUCCUAGGGCAUUUCUAACUGAAACACCACUAUAUGACUUUUCAAAUGCUCCCUCAAAUCUUAACUCCUCAAACGGCAAGCUGGAGGACACGGGUUUUUCGGGCAAUACUUCCUCAACUUGGACUGCAAUCAGUCACGGCCUAGAUUUGCUCAAGAAAGGUUUAAUAUGGAUAGUUGGGAACGGAAGGAGUAUUCGUAUAUGGAGGGACGCUUGGAUCCCUAGGCCCUUUUCAUAUAGGCCAAUCUCAGUUCAGGGUACAUGCAGGUACCGUUUUGUGUCACAGCUUCUACGCGACAAUGGAUCAUGGAAUUACAAUCUGCUCCAGGAAGCCUUCCUACCAUGUGAUGUGCAGGAGAUUCUGAAAAUAAGAGCAUCGCCGCGGCUAGGCGAGGACGUGCUUGCAUGGGGGCCGGCUGGAAAUGGUGUUUUUUCAGUCGAAUCAGCAUAUACCUUAGCCUUUGAAGAGACAUACAUAUCUACUGCGGAAUCUUCAAGCUCAGCCCCGAAUGGACAUCAGACCUGUUGGAAAGUUAUUUGGAAAAGUUUUGUACCUCUAGCAGUACAGCAGUGAACUCUCUCCCAACUUGGCAAAACAAGAAUAAACGUAACUUAGAAACUUCGGGAAUCUGCCCAAUCUGCGAGCGGGAAGAGGAAGAUACUUUUCAUGCAUUAUGUAAAUGCCCUUUUGUGGUGCAAUGUGGGAAUGCAUGUCAACUGUUUGGCGUUUGCCACAGCUGGAGGAAAUGAAAAAUACGGGUACUGAAUGGUAUUGGAGGCGCUCCAUCCACUCCCUGAGAUUGAUAGUGGUAUGCUAAUGAUGACACUGUGGCGGGUAUGGCAUAACCAUAAUGAAGUGACUCAUAAAAAAGGAUCCAUUGUUGAUGGAAGUGUCCAAGCGUUUCCUGAUGAGCUACAUGGACUCGCUCUUAUCACUGAAAUACUCUGAUUAGGAUAUGUUUAAGGGACAGCAAGUGGUCUCUUAUGAUCAUCUAUAUAAACCACUUGUGAUAUUAUCUACACCUCGGCACAUUCCAUGGGUGUUGCCAAUGGAGGGCUGGACCAAACUCAACACAGAUGGUUCUUGGUCAGUUGAUGGAAGUGCGGGAGCUGGUAUGGUACUCCGGAAUAAUAUGGGUUAGACCAUUUACACAUCAUGCAUAGAGCAUUUCUCGUGCAGACACGCUUUGGAAGCGGAGCUUAGUGCAUGUACGGAGGGGCUUUUACUUGCCAUUCAGAGAACGGAGUUUCCUAUCCAUGUGGAGAUGGAUUCCCGACAAGCUGUGAGCAUGAUCGUUGAUGAGUUAACUGAUAGAUCGAUCUUCUCUUCACUGGUGAAGGAAAUCAAGCAUCUGAGGAACCUCCGUAGAACUACAUUUAGUCUUGUUCAUUGUAUUCAGAAUAGUGUUAGCAAUUUUUUGGCUAAGUUUGCUAGAACUCAGAGUAGAACUGUUGUUUGGCUUAACUCUGUCUUGUCAGAAGUUAUUGAGCUUUGUAAUGCAGAUCAUGGCAUUUAUCCCACUUGAGUAAUACAAAGUUCACCCGCAAAAAAAUCUUAACUCCUAAAAAAUGAGGAGUUAAGAUAGCGGUGGGACUUAACCGAACUCCUAUAUAUAACUCCUUAUAAAAAAGAUAUUUGCUAUUUAGCUAUCUUAAUGCCACAUGUUCUAGAUCCAAACGGCUGUGAUUAUUCUACUGUAUGCCCGUCGUUGAUGGAGAGAGUGUGGGGAUGAGCAGAGGUCGGAUCCCGUCGUGGCUCAGUGGAUGUAGGAUGAGGCAGUGGUGGCUUGCACCAUCAGCCAUGGACCUGGGCAUGCUGCCGCCGAGGCAUUCCAACUGUCUAUGGGAAGGGGGGAGGUCGUGGUGCUCCACGGGUGGAUGGCCAAACGCAGUGGGGUGAGUCCCACCUGGAUUGGCCAGAGUCGGAGGGACGCUCAGCGCCUUGACGUUGCCCGAACCGGAGUCGCCACCACCUCGCGUGGGUGCGAAAGGGGCGAUGCGCAGGUCGUCUAGCCACGAAUCCAUGCUUGAGUUUUUUUGUUAGAAAUCUCAUUGACUUACCUAAUAAAAUCGUGUUGCAUUGGUGAGCCAAUAAGUACUGAUCCAUUUAACAGUAAUAUCUGUUUAUAGUUAACAAUAAAAUUGUAGGUAAAUCAUGGUCAUUGCAUACAUUUAUGUGUGCCUUCGUUACAAUUCACAUGCAAUUAUCUAAUGGACUGAAAUUAAGGUCUAUGGCUUUUAAAAUAAUUUUUUAUUUCUUGUUGGGUUGAGAGUCAACAACCGGAAUCCAACACUUAAUUAUUUGUUGAUGCAAGUUUUAAUUUUGUGUUGCACCUGUUCGUGAGAAUGAGUCUUAGUACUGGAUGAUAACAUCACGUGGCCCUUGCUCUGUUUUCUUUGAACCAAUCUAGACAUGGAAGCCAUUUGUCAACCAAUGAUUUUUCUUUUUCCUAUUCAUAUGUGAAAUUUGUGUGCUAUUUUCUUGUUCUUAUGUCUAGCUAAAUCUAUACCUAAUAAUAAAGGGGCUAUUGCUGCGGCACGUCAUCGAAAUUGCCCCCAAAGUUGCAAAAUAUUACGCACUGAUGCCAUCUAUAUAAGGGAUAAAAAUGUUUCACACAAGGGAAUCCCCGCCUGGGCCGGCCCAUGCGGUAGGAACCUACUAUACUGCACUCUGUUUGUGCCGGCCCAAGUCGGGGCGGCAUAUUUUUUUAAAUUUUGUUUUCUAUUUUUUGUUUUUGUUUGCCAUCUUCAUUUUUCUACUUUAAAUAAUUUUGGAUUUUAAAAAAUUACAAAAUUAAAAAAAUGAGAAUUUUGAAAUAAAAUGUUUGAUAAUUCAUAAAUGUUUGUGCAAUUAUAAAAUGUUCCCGAUUUAAAAAAAUAUGUUUGCAUAUUCAAAAAGUGUUCGUAAAAAACAAAAUAAAUGUUUGGGGAAUAAAAAAUGUUCAUGAUUUUUUUUGAAAGUUUGUGUAUUAAAAAGCAUUGAUGAAAUUGAACAAAAUUUUGCCAAUUCAAAAAAUGUUCAUGAAUUGAAAAAUAUCAUAAAUUUUUGAAAACUGUUCAUGACUUACAAAAUAGUUUAUUGAUUCAUAAAAUGUUUGUGGAUAAAAAAAUGUUCAUUAAAUGAAAAAAAUUGUCCCACCAAUUCCAAAAACAUGUUCGUAGAUGCUAGAAAUAUUAUCCUAUUCAAAAAAAUGUUUUAAAAAGUAUUUUCAAAUAGUAUUAAAUGUUCAUGAAUUCAAAUUUUUACAUGAUUUUAGAAAAUGUUUAAAAAAAUGUAAAAAUCUUCCCGAUUUCAGAUAUGCUCAUGAGUUUAAAAUAUUGUUCAUGAGUUUCAAAAAUUGUUCACGCUUUCAUGAAAAUGGGAGUAUACUGUAUCUUGGUGAUGUAGCAAUAUGUGGUCAUGGCCAUUCAAGAUUAUGAUUUUUUUUCCCGUUGCAUCGCACGGCUGUUUUUGUAGUGUUUUACUUAUAUAUAGUAGAUAUACUUGUGAAAACCAUACAUAAAUAUUGCAUAUCUAUAUAAUUUAUAAUUUCAUAUAAUCCACACGGCAAUACAAAAAUCAAUUUUCAUAUAUAUCCCAAUCACAUUUAUUUCAGGGAGCAUGUCCUUGUACAUCAUCAGCUAGAUCCGUAUGUUUGUUGGAGGGGUGUACUUUGCUUAUUAGCGUAUAUGCAUAUUGUGCACUCACACCCAAAAGGAACACACUUGGCACUGGCGUUGCACGCGCAGUUUGGAGGGCAGUGAAACUUCAAGAGCUCUUGGCCCACUUGAUUCUGGCAUUCACUUAUAUCACAAUCAUGACCACCCGGCUGUGGGAUGAGUUUUCUCUUGCAAUCUUUAUACGCUGUCGCACCUACUCCCUCCGUUCCUAAAUACUUGUCUUUCUAGAGAUUUCAACAAGUGACUACAUACGGCGCAAAAUGAGUGAAUCUACACUUUAAAAUAUGUCUACACACAUCCGUAUGUUGAGUCCAUUUAAAAUGCCUAGAAAGACAAGUACUCCCUCCGUUCCUAAAUAUUUGUCUUUUUAGAGUUUUAAAUGGACUACCACAUACGGAUGUAUAUAGACACAUUUUAGAGCGUAGAUUCACUCAUUUUGCUCCGUAUGUAGUCACUUGUUGAAAUCUCUAGAAAGACAAAUAUUUAGGAACGGAGAGAGUAUUUGGGAACGGAGGGAGUACAAGAUAUCGGCAUGAAAAGAACAUGGGUCACACAUCAUGGCCAUAAUUUGAUAAAUGAGUUUGUGUGAUAUGCAUUAUAGAGAAGAAAAUGGGCACCAUAUGUUAACAGAAGGAAGGCGAGGACCAGGAGUUGAGUCACAGUACCGGUUCUCCUCAUUUUUGCCGUCUUAUGGCGUUGAUAUCUACUGUUGUUGAUGGCUACGAAACUUUAGAGCUGUUUAGGAGAACAAAUAAGAUGGCAAUCUUUUUAUAGAGGGCUUCAUAUCAAUACCAUUACCAUUAUUUGGAAAGACAUUUACUAUUGGAUAUUGUAUACCAAAAAAAUAAUUAUGGAGUAUCAAAUAAGUAAUACUAAUACCAUUAUUGGAAAGAAAUUUAUUAUUGGAUAUUGUAUACCAAAAAAAUAAUUAUGGAGUAUCAAAUAAGUAAUACUACUACCAUUAUUUGAAAACACAAUAUUAUUGGAUACCAAUACCAUUAACAUUAUUUGAAAAACACAAUAUUAUUGGAUAUCAAUACCAUUAACAUUAUUUUGAAACACAUUAUUAUUGGAUAUCAAUACCAUUACCAUUAUUUUGAAACACAUUAUUAUCGCCCAAUGCGCUUGCCAAGAAAAACUUACACCACACACCCACAACUACCGAGCCCGUUGGUGAUCGAGCCUGCCACUGUUACUCUAUGCAAGCAGCAGAACAACACGAUGCAGCGAAAGAACUCUAGCAGCGGAACAACGAUGACGGUGGUGAACUCCACUCCGCAGGGACUCUGGCUAGAACGCUUAUCCCAGCUCGCACGAACAGAAACCACGACAAGCAAGCAAUCAAAUCCGGAAUGACCUGCAAGCUGGCAUGACACGCCAGGUCAGUACAUUGAAUGUACUUGCAAGCUCACAAUAACCAGAAGCAUUCAAGACAGACAACAACAUGGCAAUUACAGGUUAAACAGGAAUUAUCAUGAUAUCAUCAAAACAAUAUAGCAUGAACAAGAUGAACAUGAUACGGCUAACAGAACAUGAACAUGGAAUGAACAUAUUAAUCCGACAAUACUAGCAUGCAACAUGAUGACACUAUCAUGCACUACUUAUUCUGCUCGGGUUACCUCGUAACCAACACAUGCAUCACUUACCAACCUCGGACAUCACACGAUCAUCUCAGGAUCAAAUCAAGCUUGGUAUAAACAAUACCGUAGUAAUCAUUAAAUGGCCACAAGGAGCUUGAUCUUUACCCACGAUUCUCGCACAACAUCACGAAUAUCCAACGACUCGGUAUCCUCAAUACCACCAUGAUCCUUACGGUGAUCACAACCACGACCAACACUUGGUCUCAAACCAUGAUCCUUACGACGAUCACAACCACGACCAACACUUGGCCCCAAACCGUGAUCCUUACGGCGAUCACAACCACGAGUUGUCAUUAAUCAAGUUAUUCUUAUUACUGUUGACUCAUGGUGUACCCUACUUUCGAACUGGGCCCUUAUCCGUGGGCGCGGCUAUCGAUAGAUUUAACAUACACUCUGCAGAGGUUAGUACACUGUACCCACACUACGGAACCCAUGGCCUCGCACUCCCAUUCGGGUGGACCAACGGCGUUCCGACAAAACCGUUCUAUUGCCAUGACACUCUCCCGGCCACUCCGACUCACUCCCCACUGGGCUAAGUCAUGGGUGGCCCCGUGUCUACCUCAAGAUACCUCAAUCCACCGCCGUGGCCCAAAACAAUAAACCGUCCCAAACGGGGACAUGUGCACAUAACAACAACAAUGGGAACACAAGUCUUAUGUCCGCCUACCUGAUCAAGGUAUCGCGCGCCCAUAACCUUCCCUCGUUAGAGGCACCGGCGAGAGGCGCGACAAUAGACCCAGUUAGGACCGUCCCAUACCGGUAAGCGUGGUUGCACUGGUCAGCAUCAUUUCAAUGGCACCAUGACUCAACCAACAGUUAUUCAAGUUCAAUUUAAUCCGGUUAACUUGAAUGCAAAUAUGCUGAGCCAUGAUAAAAUGCAUGAACAUGAUAUCAACAUAAUCAUGAGGGUAUCACAUAACUACCCACCAUAUCAACAAUAAUUCAUAUCCACUGAGCAUGGCAUACUGACUAGCAUGACCAUCACCAACAUCAACAUGUACUACUAGCAAGCAUAAACAUAUGAAAGGAAAUACUAGCAGGUAGAACAUGAUAACAUAGUACAAGACAACCUAGCACAAAAGUGAACAUGCAAAUCUAAACAUCACCGGAACAACGAUAACCAUCUUUUCAACAAGCAAAUAUUUAAUAAAGAUUCAAGUUGAAAACCGUGGCUACUGCAUGACUAUUAUGCAAGUGGGUAUUGUGGUUUCCUGGGGUGGAAGAAAUCACUGGGAGAAGCGCGAGAAAAUCGCGGAACGAAUCGCCGGAAAACAUACUCUCUUGGAGGGGGCCGAAUAAGGGCAAGGGCAUAAUGGUCAUUUUCACAGUGUCAAACCAUAGUGAAUGGAUGGCCAACAGAACGGGCUCGACGAAACAAAGAAGUAGGCUUUGGAAUCACCUCAUUUGGAGUUACGGAUAAAAAGAUACGGACAUUUAAAACUCAGGGACUAAUCUGUAAAAAUACUUCUACAAACAGGUCCCUGGCAGUUUUAAACCGAACGCGUCUUUCUGAGAAUAUGCCUUCAAAUCAGGAAAACGGCUUCGCGCCGGGGCUCCUCCACUUAUCCACGUGGCGCUGACCAGUCAAAGAGGCAGCAGCGGGGCCGGGCGCCUGGGUCGCUGCCAGGUGGGGUCACGGGGCCCGCCUGGCCAGGUCAACGCCCCACAUGGCAGGCUCCUUCUCCAGCUGGAUGCGCGCCGGGCCGAGGGGAGGCGACCGCCCCGACGGCGCUCGCAGGUGUGUCCGGCCACGGCAGGCGACGGGCGACCUACCCACGAGAUCGGGAGGAGGAGGCGCACCCCGGGGUAGUAUCCGUUGCCGGCGACGAGCACUGGAGAGGGAGCAGCAGGGGCCGCUGCGGAGAGGAGCUUCGGCCUCGGGAAAACUAGGGCUCCNNNNNNNNNNNNNNNNNNNNNNNNNNNNNNNNNNNNNNNNNNNNNNNNNNNNNNNNNNNNNNNNNNNNNNNNNNNNNNNNNNNNNNNNNNNNNNNNNNNNNNNNNNNNNNNNNNNNNNNNNNNNNNNNNNNNNNNNNNNNNNNNNNNNNNNNNNNNNNNNNNNNNNNNNNNNNNNNNNNNNNNNNNNNNNNNNNNNNNNNNNNNNNNNNNNNNNNNNNNNNNNNNNNNNNNNNNNNNNNNNNNNNNNNNNNNNNNNNNNNNNNNNNNNNNNNNNNNNNNNNNNNNNNNNNNNNNNNNNNNNNNNNNNNNNNNNNNNNNNNNNNNNNNNNNNNNNNNNNNNNNNNNNNNNNNNNNNNNNNNNNNNNNNNNNNNNNNNNNNNNNNNNNNNNNNNNNNNNNNNNNNNNNNNNNNNNNNNNNNNNNNNNNNNNNNNNNNNNNNNNNNNNNNNNNNNNNNNNNNNNNNNNNNNNNNNNNNNNNNNNNNNNNNNNNNNNNNNNNNNNNNNNNNNNNNNNNNNNNNNNNNNNNNNNNNNNNNNNNNNNNNNNNNNNNNNNNNNNNNNNNNNNNNNNNNNNNNNNNNNNNNNNNNNNNNNNNNNNNNNNNNNNNNNNNNNNNNNNNNNNNNNNNNNNNNNNNNNNNNNNNNNNNNNNNNNNNNNNNNNNNNNNNNNNNNNNNNNNNNNNNNNNNNNNNNNNNNNNNNNNNNNNNNNNNNNNNNNNNNNNNNNNGAGGAAGAAGACGAGCUCACGGGCGCGCACUGCUCGACCCUUGGCACGGCUCAUCGGAGAAGAAAAUGGAGGGGGGGGGGGGCGGGGUCCAGGCGAACGGCGACAAUGAUGCAGAGCUACUAGACAUGCGGGGACGAGCCAAAUCCAGCUGGAGCAACGAUGCCGAGGCCAACAGUGGCUAGACCACCGUUUUGGCUGGCUGCCCUCGUGGUCACCACUGGCAUGGUGCACUCUGGAGGUUUUACUGAGGCCAGAUUAUGUCUACCACGUAGUCCUUCAAAGAUAGAUUGUUACUACGGUAAAGGUUUGGGCAGAGACAAAUGGAGCUGAGUAAACCAUGCUCCACAAGUUUGCUGUUGCAAACUUGGCAACAUCCUAGAGGUAAAACCAAAGAGUUUGAAUGGUAAAUUUGAUGUCUGGGAGGCUUAGGGUAGAAAGGACUACAGUCCUGGGGGGUUUGAGGGUAAAUGGAUCAAGAUUUACUGCAGUUGCUUCACAACUGACCAAAAUGGUCCAGAAACUAGAUCAUGAUGAUGCUCUCACAUGGAGUUAUGAAAUGAGAUGCAGCUUGGCAAAUACUCAUGAUAUGGACAUAUAAAGAUUCUGUAAAAAGCUCAUGCCAAAUGGACAAGCCAAAAUGGCACUUGCUUCACAAACAUCAUUUCUGUCCAGAAACUUGGAAUAAUUAUGGUGAUCAAAUGGAUCAAUUAAAUGAUGCAAAAAUGGGUGGAGAGAUGUUUCAUGGGUAUAAGAAUGAUCUGGUAAUUUAUCAGGAUUUUUGAAGCAAUACAAAAUGCACUCGCUUCACAACCUGAAAAUAUUGCCAUAAUCAAAGAUUUGCUCCUAUGCUCACAUAGAUGAUUUUAUGGGACUGCAAAUUGGUGGAGGGGGUUAAUAUGAGCACAUUAAAGAGUGUGCAAAAUUUCAACUCAUUUGGGUACUCUUAGCUAGUACUUCCUUCACAAAGCCUUCUGUUUGACAGAAACUUUGAAAAAUCACUGAGGAAGAUUGACUAGGAAAAUAAAGUUUAACUUGUGCAUGAGGCAAUUAUUCGGACAUAUAAACAUUCCCAAAAAGGAUGGGAGCCACUAGGAAAAAUAUAAAUGACACUUCCUUCACAAAGGGCCAUUCAGGGCAGAAUAGAAAAAGGAAUAUUGGGGAAUUACUUUUGAACAUGGCAAUGAAUAGUUUUGCCAUAUUUGAUCAAGAUAUGACCCAAACAAUUUAUGAGAAUUAUUUGGGAAUUUUUGGAGUGAUGGAAAUAUAGGUUGCUUCACAACCUAGGGCAAUUUGAGUUAUUCCUUUAAUAGAAAAGGAAUAUUCCCAAUAAAAAGAAUAUUGGGAUUUGGGCUAGGAUGAAAAUGACAGGGUCUAGGAGAGGAUUUAGUAAUGACAAGCCACUCUGGAAGCAAAGAAGAGGUCAUCUUCUUCAGUUUCCAGACCACAAAGCCACGAAAAAAAAGAAAACUCAGGCAAAAACCUCGGAAAAACAAAAGGAAAAGAAAGGGCCAAAAAUCAGGCUGUCAUAGUAGUGUCAAAAACCGUCUUACAUUAUGGGACGGAGGGAGUACUACACAAAGUUACCUAUCUCUCACUUUCUCUCCUUUCGUAAAUAGACUAAACCAAGCUUUGUUUGGUGAAAUACAUGACCAAUCGCACGAGGGACAAGACGGGAGGUUGGGCAGUUCUGCACCACCCCGGUCGCCACAGCUCAGCCCCGCGUCAAUCAAAGUGACCAAAGAUCUAAGUGCAGUGAACAAGUUAUAAAUUUUUCUCUUGAGAGUAGAAAAUGAAACCACUGGAAACAAAACGCUUGACUACCAUGAAUCAAGUUUCUAGUAGUGAACUAUUUUGCAAAAAAACAACUACGUUUGCUACCAUAGUAUAAACAAAAAUUUGGCUUCGGAACAAAAACUGCAAGUUGGUGAACAAUAUACUUAACUAUCAUGAACAGAAAAAAAUAUGUGAAUGUGAAUACAUUUUUUAAGUAGAGUGGACAAAUUUCAACAUGAAAAGAAAAGGAAAUAAAACUAUAAAGAACGGGAGGUUGGACUGUGGCGGACAAUUUUUUUCUUACUGCAAUGAACCAACAUUUUAAGUGUAAUGGAUACAUUCUUUAAGUAGACCGAACCAAAAUUUUGACUUCAACACCAAAAUUUAAAUCAUGAUGAACAAAAACUAUAACCGCACUAUGAACAAUAAAUUUUGGACGCCGAUGCCGCACGACUUGUUCGGUACGAGGGGAUUGAUCCCCCCGCAUGAAUUCAUUCGGCAGGGGGAAUCCAUAGCCCACAGGCCUCCAUCACACCAGACCCUUUCCCUGUGAAAAAAAGGAACAUAAAACCCGCUGACGGCGAAUUAAAUGAAAAGACCCAGAUUAUUUUUCCGUGACAAAUAGAAGCCCAGAUUUUGCUCGGCUACUAAAAAAUGCCAUCAUCUUUAAAAAGCAUCAAAAUGAAAAAAAAAAUCCAAAAAUGCCAUUCAAGAUUGACCAAACUAUUUGCCAUUAUAUUCUUUUUUUACAAUGGCAAGGUUUGUAAACACAUAUUUGAUUCCCCAAUAAAGCAUGGCAAAUCUGCCAUGACAAAAAAAAAAU